rnacentral:lncRNA from 1 species
CAUAAUAUUCAUUUACCCGAAUGUCAUAUCCCUUUUAUAUUUUUAAUUUAACAAAUCCUAGAUUAUCUCUUUUUACUUCACACGUCGGCUACUAGUUGCUCACGAGCCAUUGAUCACACCGGUUGUUGCUUGUUCACGGGACAUUGAUAUAGUUUAUUCCCGACUUUGCUAUCUCCUCUUCAGCAUUACAGCUUCUUCUUUUCUUAUUUAACAAAUCUUUCUUUUUAUCUUUCUCUCGGUGCAUUAAUAACUACAUGUGUUAGCUUUUAUUUUAUGAUAUCAAUUAAUGGUCCAAAUGUUGCGUGAACUGUGGAAGUUUUCUUCUUUGCUUGAGUUAAAUGAAAAUUUGAAAUAUACUGAUAAUUUGGUGUUCGCAUGUUAAUUUAUGGAUAAUUCGACAAAAUUCACAUGUAGAAAUUACUUUUGAAAUUCGUGGGUUAAAUAAAUUUUUAUGGACUAAAAAUUCAUUUCAAACACCUGCCAUUUCUUUUAAACUAAUACUUACUAGGUAAAAAUGGUUAUUGUUUCAAUUACUUUGAUUUGUGAGUGUAUAAUUUGAUGAAUAGUGGAUUUGAAAUAUUCCGUAAACAACACUUUGGUCAAUAUUUGUGAGUGCAAGAUUUGAUGUCCCAUGCCAACACAUGUAGUAGAAUUUAGUAUGGGUGGUCGAUUUUUAAUCCCAUAUUGUAGUAAACUUCAUCCUACACAUUAGAGACCUUAGUGUGUACUCACAAUUAGGUAUGAGCUCAAAUAAAAUGUAUCAAACUCAUUUGAGUUCCACAUUUUAUUUAAGUUUGAUAACAAUUGUUUACAUUCUAUUUCAAAAUCACUUUUAUUUUUUUUAACCAAAAGAGAAAAAUGGAAUUCCCAAAGACAAGCUGACUAAUAACAGAGAAGAAAUAAAUCGCGAAGUGACUGAUGAUGAUGAUGAAUAGGAGACAUAGCACAUGUUUUGAAUAGUGCUUAUUUUUUCUUUUUUUUUUUCUGCGCGCUUGAUGCUCAUUAUGAUGCUAUCAUGGUCAUACAUAAUGCACACUAUUUACUUAUUUAAUGCUUUAAUUGUAUUAAUUUGUAGAUUUAUGAUGAUGAUCUAAUUCAAGAUUGAAAGCUUAAUUGUAAGUCAUUACAAACAAGCCUUAUUAGAAGAAUAAUUUUUUUUUGUUUUUGAGUUUGAAAUUAAUUUGUAAUUUCAAAUGAUAGUUUCUUUUUUGUGAAUUUGUAGUUAUGAUAUUUGUUAUUUGGAUGUUUAUUAUUUCUAAUUUAGUAUAAAAAUCUGAUAUUGAUUUAACUAUUUUAUAUUGUUAUUUUUUAUUUCAUAUUUUUUUGCUUUCUUUUCAUAUGAUAAAAAUUAAAUAUUCGUGGAUAUUCGUGUCCAUAUCCAUAUCAAAUUUUAAAACUUAGAUAUAAAUAUGGACAUAUUCAUCAUAGCUAAUUAUGAAUUUACAUUUGGAUGGAUACUUGCCAUCGAUAGAUUAGAGUAGUUUGAUCAAAUGGCGCUCGACGAACUGGAUAUUGGUAGGAUGGUGUGUGUAUAUGUGUGUGUUUGUGUGUGUGUGUGUGUGUGUGUGUGUGUGUACGCGCGCGUGUGUAUGUAUAUGAGAAUUGACAAUCAGCAAGAAAAGGCUUUAUUAUAUGCUUAACAAAAGUGCUAGGCGUGUUUGAUAUCUCGAAAACAACAUCACCAUCCAUUAAUAACACUCCUCCUCUUACAUUUUUUAACGCCGUCUUUUAAAGGAGGCAAAAUGGGUUGAUGGGUUGAAUUUGUGUCAAAUCCUAAAUAACUUAUUGUUAAGUUUUGGAAUUUAAAUUCAAUCUAUUUAUUAAACAAAUAAUAAUAUAAAUUAUUUUUUGAUUUUAUUCCUUUAUCUUUAAGUAACAAAUGAAUCGAAUCGAAUUUUGAUUGGUUUAGUUUGUUCAUCUAUAAUCAUACUUUUAUUUUUGUCUUUUCAUCAGUUAAUUACAAAACUAGUGUUACCGCUUAAUGAUUUUUGUAUUAAAUUUAAAAUUAUAAAUUUGACUAAGAAUCUUAAUUAACAAAUAUUAAUUUUUGAAUAUGAGUUCCUUAGGAAGCAAAGAAUCAAAAUUUUAUUUCAAAAUAAAAUGCUAAACUCCGAAAUAAUCCACUCUUCUAUAUCAAUCGUCCUUGGUGCCCGGGAUUUUUCUCAAGGACUAGCUGAGCUUUUGACAUAAUAUUUCUUAUUUUGCCAUUUACUCUCUGAAUAUGAUAUACUAAUAAAUAAUCUCUCACCAUCAAUGAUUAUUUGCAGAUAAAGAAGAUAGAUCAAAUGGAACACAUGAAAUACAUUUGGUGCAAAAAUGUGGGCUCUAAUCAGGAAAAUGACGAACCAAAAUACCAACACGAAGAAAAGUUUUUAUUGUUCGUAAACAUGCAACAUCAAUGCAACUUUUAUUAUUACGACUUUAUUCAUUUAUAAAAGCAUGCGUGUAACUUUAAAACGAAACAAACUUUAAUUCAACUUAUUUAAUUUAUAUUAAUUUCAAUUUAUAUGAUUUACUUAAUUUACAAUAAAUUUGAAAAAAGUGUAUUGAAAAAUAAAAUAUGAAAAAAGUGUAUUGAAAAAUAAAAUAAAGUAAUGUUAUUUAAUAAUGGUGUCUAAUGGUUAUUAUUUAUUAUAAAAAUAAUACGAAAAUAAAUAAUAUAUAUGUUUAUUUUAGUAAAGAGAAAAUUAACAAUCUCUUUUUUUAUAGAAAAAUUUAUCGGUAUAUCAUCUAUGUAUGGAUUAUCCAUUACAGUCCCAUGGUUGGCUUCUUUAAUUCUACAUAUUUUAUUUUAUGCUAUAAUCGAGUCAAGUUCAUAGAUUCUUAUGGUUCCCGUCAAAUCAAAAUCCUGCAUUACAAGAAAUUAAUGCAUAAUUUUUUCUUACUGGAAUUGAACUAUCACAAUGAUUUAAUCUCCUUCGUAAUUUAAAAUGAAAAUGUUGACACCAAUCAAGAAAAUGAUGAACCAAAAUACCCACAUGAAGAAAAAAAUAUUUAUUAUUCAUAGACAUGCAACAUUGAUGCAACUUUUAUUAUUAUAACUUAGUUUAUUCAUUUAUUAAAGCAUGCGUACAGCCUUAAAAGAAAAAAAAAAACUUUAUUUUUAACUGGAAGCAUUUGCGGAGCUCUCAGCAGCUCGAUCUUCAAACCUUUUUAAACACAAUUUUGAACGGAACAUCACUCAAAGCCAGACGCCGCACCCCACCAUUAAUAAAAAUGCCAACAUCUCUGCACAAACCUCUGCAGAAAUUACAAACCGAAGGACAGUAGACAAGCUUGUAAUCACCAAAAAACUUCUCAAUCUUAAACCAAUUUCUCAUGGUUCUGGGGCCGGGAUUGCCUUCAACUCCCCCAGUUGUCAAAAGCCACUGUCCUAAUACCGCAUCAAAAUUGUCAAGCUUCCACACUGUGGACUGCGCACAACUUGUUGCAGCGUCAAAUUUGAUAUUUAAGUCGGUGGACUCACGAACAACGCCUUUUUUAGGGUUAACGGGCGAAAAUGUUACCGGCAAACCAUUUUUAAAUGAGUGCUGCUCUUGAACAACAUCUAGGGGACAUGUCUUAUUGUUGCUUCUGCCAGCAAGUGUAAGCCCGCCGCCUCGGCCCUUUGUAACGGGCAAGAUAUAGUACUUACUGCCAGUUCGGAGCUGCUUACCGGCGAUGUCCAGCACCGGAUCAGGUGAAGCAUUGCCGUUGACAGGCAAUGGCGUUGCAAUGAAGGCAAAGAGAAGGAUCAGCGAGGGUAAGACUAGUGUACUUCUCAUUGUUAUAUCGUUAUAUUUUUUGUUCUUAUCUUUUGUUGUUGCGUGUAAAUAACCCUUAUGAGGCCAAAUUUAUAGAGUUAGGCUAGUAUAGUUAAUUGACGGACAGCAAGUUGGUUUGAUUCGCCUAAUGUCCGAUUCCAGAAGCCAAUGGUCGCCCAUACGACAAGAACGGAUUAUCACUCUCUGCUUUGUGUACUGUAAUUAUUAUUAUUUUUUUCCCGCCUAAACAGCCUGAUAAGAAGAUUUAAUACAAAUUCAACAAUAGAAAGCGUAGUCUAGUAAGAAAGUCAAAGAUUUAAUUUAGAGUUAGAAGUCAAUACCCUUAUCUUUUCUCGAACACUAAAUUUAACGGAAUUUAGAUCUGAUUCCCGUGUCUUUGUUGAUGGUUUCGUCAUUUUGUUUUGCCUGGUAUAUAUGUUUAUUCUUAAAAGCACAAGUUUUUAGCUGAAGUUGACCUGGUCAAGCGACGAGUUUAUUGAAAAAUUAAAGUAGCAAAGAAAUGACAAAGCAUAUGUCCAGCGAGGCACAACGUGAGCCCUGUCCUUUAAUUUAAAAUUUGCACCAAGAAUUUGAAAACAAAAAAUGAUGUAAAAAGACAUACAAGCGAUGAUCAAAACAUGUUACCAGCAGAUCUAUUGGCUAUGUUCAUAUGGAGAUAUCUGCUAGUAUUAUAUUAUGUGAAAUUAACAGCCGUAGACAGAUUUUGUAUAAAAAAUAUUAAAAGAUUUUGUAUUUGUUUAACUUUUCACACUAAGUUUUCAGAAUAAAAUAAUAGAUUAAAAUUUAAAAAAAAAAUUUAUUACCAAUAUUCAAUUAAAUACAUUUAAAACUCUAAUGUUUUCCUUAAAUAAGAAAAGAGAAAUUAUCAGCCAUGUACCAUUAAAUGACACCAGUAUCAAACGUGCUACAACACUUUUCAAGUGUAUCACUCGUAUACCCUAAGUUGACAAAACACUUCUGCCGUCCACCAAUCCGUUAAUUGCCGUUUGCGAGCGCUGAUAUCAUAAGGGCAUUCUAGUCUUUUAAAAAAAAGACAUGUCAUCCCAUUUACCUAGUAAAAAACGAUAUGUCAUAUGAUAUAUUUUGAUAAAAAUGACAUGUCAUCCCAUUUAUCUAAUAAUUGCUAAAAAAAAGCUACUUUACAACCGAAUCUACUCCUCCAAAAUUUAACCUAAAUUAUUGAAGAUCUACUCCUCCAAGCUCAAACUUGAAUUUUUUAUGGUAUAAUAUGUAUAAUUAUAAAUAAUAUGUUGUUAAUAAUUUUUUAUGGUAUAAGAUGAAUAUUUUUUAUGGAUAAUUGUUAAUAAUAUGUACCAUUAGUAAUUCAUAUUUUUUAAUAAAAAAUGUAUUGUUAAUAACAAAAUAUAAAAAAAUUGUGUAUAGAAAAUUUACAUUAAUUUUCAAGGUAAAUUUAUUUUUUUACCUCAUUUUGAGUUUAAAGGGUAAAAUAGUCAUUUUGCUCAAAUUUUGUUAAGUUCUUAACGGAAGUAAACGGAAAGGUGGAUGCCACAACUCUUUUGUCAACUUAGGGUAUACGAAUGAUAUAAGCGAAAAGUGUUGUAGCACGUUUGAUACUGGUGUCAUUUAAGGGUAUAUGGCUGAUAAUUUCCCAUAAGAAAAAAUAUAUAUAUAGUUUGUCUUCUCAGUUUAUCUUCACAAAUUUACACAAUCUAUCCUAAUUGGUGGACACCCAAUCAAUUUAGCCAAUUCAUUUUCUUAAUUAAAAAAAGCUAAAUUAAAUUUAAUUAUUUAUGGUGCAAAGUAAAAAAUACCAUUGAAUUCAAGGGUAGAAUUGUCAUUUUACUUAAAUUCUGUUAAGUAUUCUAAGGGUGUGAACGUUUUGCUGGAUGAUUGAUAUAAAUUACAAGCUUAGGGUCGAAAAUCAAAUAAAUUCAAACUUUUGCAAUAUUGUUUUAUAACAUGUAAACUUAGGACACGUUGCUUAUAAUUUUUCAAAAUUUUAAGUGCUUAAGACUACAGUAUAUAUCCUUAAUAUGGUUUCAACUAAAGCGACUACAAAAUCCACUUAAGAGUUUUAGACGGGCAAAAAGCCUAGUCUAAAACACUUGCUCGUUGGGGAUCUCUAGCUAAGACAAGGCCUUAUUGGCCUAAUGAGAAAAAACUGGAAAUAAGAAUAGUGAGUUGUUAUUUUAUUAGAUACUCUAAAAGAUCCGCGAGAUACAAGUUUUAUGAUUCCGUGACUACGUCAAUUUUUGAGUUGGAAAAUGCUCAGAUGUCGAGUUUGCGGGUGUGAUAUGGCUAGAGACUUUGUCUUUGAAGAGGGAUAUAUUAAUAUUCCCAUAGGUGUUAUUAGCAUUGAUCAAGGUCUUGUUUCCUUAUACAAGAAGUAGUUCUAGAAGAACAAACUCUACCACCUCAAGAGCCUACUCUAUUAACGAGAUCCACUAGAGAAAGGAAAAGUACAGUGCUAGAUGACUACAUUAUUUUUCUCCAAGAGCAUGAGGUAAACAUUGGAGUGAUGGAAGAUGAUUCGAUCAUUUUCUGCCAAGCCAUAGAAAGUUCUAACUCUCAGAGGUGGAUUGAUGGUGUGAAUGAGUAGAUGAAGUCUGUGAAGGACAAUGAUGUAUGAGAUCUUGUCCCAUUACCAGAAGGUGUGAAUCCUAUUGGUUGUAGAUACAUAUUUAAGACUAAGAGGGAUUCAAAAGAUAAUGUAGAGCAGUACAAGGCAUGUCUUGUCAGAAAAGACUUUAUAUAGAAAGAAGGCAUCAACUAUAAAGAAUCUUUCUCUCUGGUUUCCAUAAAAGACUCUUCCAGCAUUAUAAUGGCAUUAGUGGUACAUUUCAAUCUUUAGUUAUAUUAAGUAGAUGUGAAGACAGUGUUUCUCAAUGGUGACAUUGAUGAGAGUAUCUAUAUGGUGCAACAAAAACUUUAUGUUAAGAAACCCAAAUAAUAUGGUUUGUGAACUUAAAAAAUUCAUUUAUGGACUCAAGCAAGUAUCUCGACAAUGAUAUUUCAAGUAUUAUCAAGUAAUCAUCUCAUUUGAUUUUGAGAUGAAUUUGGUCGAUGAUUACAUAUACUAUAAGUUCUAUAUGAGCAAGUAUAUUUUUUUCGUUUUAUAAAUCGGUGAAAUUUUUCUUGCCAGCAGUAAUAUAGGCUUAUUACAUGGCACCAAGAGAUUUCUAGCUAAGAAUUUUGAGAUAAAAGAUCUUAGUAAGCCUUUUUUGUAGUAAGCAUACAGACACACCGGGAUUGCUCUUGAGGUAUUCUUUGAUUAUCGCAAAAGAGUUAUAUCAAAACGAUUCUCAAGAGAUACGGCAUGCAAGAUUGCAAAGCAAGUGAUACCCAUAUGGCUAAGGGAUAUAGGUUUAGUCUCAAUCAGUUCCCUGAGAAUGAUUUUGAGGUGAAAUAAAUGCAGAAGAUUCCUUAUGCAUCAAUAAUAAGAAGUCUAAUACAUGCUUAAGUUUGUACGGGACCGGAUAUUGUGUAUGUUAUUGAGAUGUUUGGCAGGUACUUAAGUAAUCUAAGAGCAGACUAUUGAAAAGCGGCCAAACAAGUCUUGCGAUACUUACAGAGAAUAAAAGGCUACAUGCUUAUGUAUCAGAGGCCAGAUUAAAUUGAGAUUGUCGGUUAUAUUGACUCCAAUUUUGCUGGAUGCCAGGAUAGUAUAAAGUACAAAUUGGGCUACAUUUAUCUACUCGUUGCGAUUGUUGUCUGUUGGAAGAAUGUUAAAUGGUCUCUUACAGCCUCUUCUACGAUGGCACUAGAGUUCAUAACAUGUUAUGAAGUAUCCAAUCACAGAAUAUGGCUACGAAAUUUUGUCCUGGGACUGUGAAUAGUAGAUGGUAUUGAUAGAUCACUCAAUUUAUCUUGUGGCAAUAAGUCAAUAAUGCCUUAUUCGAAUAACAACAGGAGCUCGAUGAAGUCAAAGUAUAUAGACAUCAAGUUCCUAGCUGUUAAAGAAAGAAUUCAGAAUGGACAAUUGUGUAUAGAGCACGUGAGCACAAACUCCAUGAUUGCAGAUCCGCUUACUAAGGUAUUGCCACCCAAGAUGCUUUAUGAAUUAUGAGCACACUACUCAUAUAGGUGUCAUGUCAUUAAAUGAUAUUUACUUUAGUUGGAGAUUGUGAUUUUAAAUGCUCAUACAAUAUAGACACUUUUUCAGUUAUUUUAGUUUCUGGAUAUUUCAGGUUAUUUUCUAUAGAAAUUAUUACUGUUUUGGUUUUCCAUGGCUAAAAGAAAUCAAAAUAAUAAUAUAUGUAUUUGUAUUCGUAUGUAUUGAGUACCAUCCUUAGAGAUAAGGAUGAGAGUGUGAGUGUAACAUAAAGUAAGGAGUGAGUUGUAAAGUAGAUUCUUUAGAGAUAAGGAUCAAUUAUGUACACAGUGUGUAAUAGUGGUUCCCUUGUGCCUAUAAAAGGGAACCCUUGGUUUGUUUCUAGGCAUCGAGUCUUAGAGUCCAAUAUUGUAUUCUAAAUCUCUCAUUCCUAUUAAUGAAGUAACCUUCCUAUGUUUUCAAGAAAUCUAAAUUUUGGUAUCAGAGCCAUAUUUCCCAAAAGGAAACCCCUGGGUGUGCAAUAAUAUUAUGCUCUGUGGUUGCCGAAAUACUUCGGAUCCUUCACAUCAGAAAGUUGUUGGAUACUGAUCUGACUGUCCAAAUUUUCCAUACUAAAACACUACAGAGUGAAUUCUGGAAGGUGUGGCGCCCCCCCUUGAAAAGGCCAAGAGAGCCGUGUUUAGGGCUUAUCACCCCAAAGAAAACCCUUUGAUUUCUUUUAGCCAUGGAAAACCAAAACAGUAAUAGAUCCGGAAACCAACUAAUUUCUGACCAAGCAUCCACUUUGGCCAUCAGAGUUCCAACUGAUAGCUCACCCUCCAUAAAUUUCCAUUAUGAAACCUAAGAGGAUGAAAGCAAUGAGAGAGCAGUUCAGUCCUUCAGACUUGAUCCGUUAGACCCUUAUAGAUACUAUCAUAUCAGUCCUACUUUAAACCACAUAAGGGCCAUAAUCCUCAUCAAACAACCUAAGCUCAAAACCAUCUAUAAAUCCUCUGAAAUCAUUGUCCAGUCCAUCUCCUCUAUUUCAAAGGAAACAUACCUUCCCAUAAUCUCUACCAAUGAGGUUACAAGGUAUAAAUUGUAGGGAUAUAAGGGAUUACACCUUGGAGUAAUCCAGAUAGGGAUACAACCUUUAUUCCUAGCUGGAAAAGAUAUUACAUGUUUCAUUGCCAUUCUAGACACUAGAUGGCAAGCUUUUGAAAAGGCCUUGAUUACUGCUGUUGAAGCAGGACUCAACCAAGGUCAUGUUGUUCUCCAAGUUGAGCCAAACUUCACCCUUGACAUACACAAGCCAUCCCUCACAGAUGCCAUUAAGGUAUUAAUUCAAGUCAAUAGUUUAACCAUGAAACCUGAUGAAUCUACCUUGGCAAUUCACCAUACUAUGACCUAUAAGGUCCAAACCCAUUUGUUCUCGAUGAGCAGCUCUGGCAAACCUAUUACCAGAUUUCUUGCUGGUGAUGGCAGAAUCUUUCAACCCAGGACUUAUAGGCAAAACCAACUCAUUUUUCCACCACAAUGGAUCAAUGAGUAUGAGAAAAACAACAGACCUCAACAAAUCCAUGAGGUUCCAAAGAUAAGCAGGUUGCAAGAAGGAAGGGUAUCAGUCUCUUUUCCUACUGAGACUAAAGCCCUCUAUCCUUGUGAAAAGUGUCAACUUGAAAGAAAGCAUCCCUCUUUGUGCACACAUAUGCCAAGAAGAACCACCUCCUGCAGAAUCAUGAGUCCAGUCAACAUGAUCACCACUCCUGACCUUGAUAAUGAAUUCAUCAAGGAUAUUCCUGGAGGAAUGUAUGCUGCCAAAUGGGUAAUACAGAAGACCAGCCCAACUGAAUUCGGCCCAAUUGAGAAGGCAGUCAACUGGUUAAACAUUAAUGUGAUGGAACAGAACCAGACAUUAGGAGACAUCAUGGUCACCCAACAGCAAAUCCUUGCUGAUUUAGCUGUCAUCAGAAAACAGCUAAAGAAGACCAGAAAAUAGUAUAAAAUGACUACCCAACAGUUUUCUCAACUACAUGAUAAUGCCUCAAGAUCUAUCAACAUGAUUGUUAUGACUGGAGCUGCAGAUGAGGACGAAAUGGAGAGAACAAAGGAAAGCUACCAAAAGAAGGUGUCCAGACAUUGAAAGAGUAAACCCACAAAACCAUGGCAUAUUUGGGAGAAAAUGCAUCUGGCAAUUGUUAGAAGGCAUUCUGGAAAAGUUAUGCUCCUCCUCCCCAAUAUCCAUGGCCUCAAAAGGCCACAGGAUGGAACGAGAAAUUUGAUACUGAAGAAGAAUCAAGUAUUUCCUCUGAUGAUACUACAGGGAUCCCUCCGAUUCCCAUUCUUAUGCAAAGAGCAAAUCCUCCAAAUCCAUUCUAUGUGGAUACUCGAACUAGAUUUGCAGCCUCAACACCAACACAGGGUCAAACUUCUGAUCCUACAAGACAUGAACAAACUCAGAACCCGUCAGGCACAGCACAAUUCACUGCUCCAGAAUUCACUAAUCAACCAACAACAUCUGCGGAAGUAUCCUCCAAUCUGGUCGAUCAAACUGCUGAACGUGCCCCACAUAUAGAUGAAGUAUCCCAAGGAGAAGAUUGGGAAACCAGGGUACAACUAGGGCACUCCACAACCGAAAAAAUGUUCUAGAAUGUCGAUGGAAUGAAGCCAAAGGAAAUGUUGGCUUAUUUUAAAAAAAUGGUAACUUGGUAUGAAGGAGAAUGCCAACGAGCCCCUCAGUUGAGUAGAAGAUCAGCUGCACUAAGGCUGAUAGCAGGGUUCAUCGGUUCGCUGAGACGAUGGUGGGGAAGAAAGCUCACCAGAGACCAAAGACAGUUUAUUCUCAGCAGGGAAGAUCCUUGUGGAAGCUUGGUAGAGAAUCUAUCAUUAGAUUUUCUAGGCCAAUACAUAAGAGAAGAAGAGGUUGCUGAAAAGCAAUUUCUACAAAACAAGUGCUGUGAUGUCCGAAAGAUGGAAGAGUACUACCUAGAGCAAGAAAGGUUGUCCUACAUCUUUGACAAACAAUCUGAUACCAUCCACAGAACAUUCGUGCUGAACAUGCCAGGCCCAGUUGCUGAAAUGAUGGAGGCUAAAUUCAAAGCUGAUGCAAUUGUUGAUUUAGCACAGCUUAGCCUAGCCCAGCUCUAUCAGAUGUCUAUGGAGCUAAUUCAAAGUCAUUACCGAUCUCAAGAUUUACCAAAGCACAUGAAGCAGAUUGAGAAAUCCUCUCUACAAAAAUUUUGUAACGAGGAACCAAACAAGUUUGGCUGCCAACAUACUGAAAAAAUGUGCUCUUGCAACACAGGCAAACGGAGAAAGGAGAAGCGGCCCUGGAAACCUUACAAAGGAAAGAAACAAACCGCUUCAUAAAAAAGCGGAACUAAAAGAAGGGCUCUGGUAGAUGUUUUAUCUGUGGAAAGAAAGGUCACUAUGCCAAGCAAUGCAAAUCCAAGAAAAAACUCCCGGUCAAAUUCCUCCAAAUGAUUCAACAAGACGAUUUCGAUGAUGAAAUCUAUACCUGGUCAGAUAGUCCCCUUGGAGCCGUCUUCACAUUAGACGAAUAUCCUGAUUCCACUAGUGAGGAAACCAAUUCUACUACCAGCACUAACACCGAUUCCGAGAAUGCAGACUUUAUCAUGGCUGUCCACGACCCAUUACAGAUAAAGCUUGCUAUGCAACCAUCAUCUCUUUUCAGGCCACACAUUAAAAUUAUCCUCAAUCCAACAGAGGAUACUCAAGUAGCACUUACUGCUCUUAUUGAUACAGGAGCAAUGUGCUCAUUUAUUCGAGAAGCUUGUGUUCCAAAAAGCUUUUAUGUCCCUACCAAGGUUUCCUUCGGAUCAACCAGCGGUCGAGAUUUCUAUAGCAAAAAGAUUACUCGACCAAUAGAGAUCCAACCAUUCAUGAUCUGGCAUGGCUUCUUUGCUUUUGAUUACUCCGGCGAAGAUAUCUUAUUGGGUACUGACUUUUUAAGUCUGGUUGCCCCUUUUGCCUUUUUUCCUGAAGGUUUCUCCUAUACCAUUCGCAAUCCUUUGGAUGGUACGAGUCAUUUUUUCCAAGUUCCUUGGGUCGAAAAGCAAUCCAUUUUUGGGGAGGGUAAAAAACUAGAAAACUACCUUAUCCAUAAAUAUGAACCUCAGAUCAAGGAACUCUUAGAGUGCUGUGCAGAAGUGCCAAACCAGUUCUGGGCUAGAGAACAUAAUUUUGUGUCUCUACCCUACAAGGAUGGAUGGACCAUGCCUCAUCAGACAGCCUCUCAUCCCGGCAUGCCCCAUGACGAAGAACUAUGCAAAAUAGAGAUCCAAGCCCUUAUGGAUCUGAAGCUCAUCAGGCUCUCUAAGUCUCAUUGGGCCAGCUCAGUAUUUUAUGUCAACAAGCAUUCAGAGCAGAUACGUGGAAAGAAGCGAUUGGUGAUAGACUACAGAAAGCUGAUUGAUUGUUUGCAAGAUAUAGGGUACCCCAUUCCACGGAGGACACACCAUUUGAAAUGCAUUGCUGGAGCAAAAGUAUUCUCAAAGUUUGACAUGAAGUCAGGCUUUUGGAAAAUUGGAAUCAAGGAAAAAGACAGACACAAGACAUCGUUUGUGGUCCCCCAUGGGCAUUAUGAAUGGAACGUGAUGCUUUUCAGCCUAAAGAAUGCACCGUCAGAAUUCCAAAACAAAAUGGAUGAGGUGUACAAAUCCAUCUCAGGAUUCUAUCUUAUCUACAUCGACGAUGCUCUUAUCUUCAGCAACAGUAAAGAAGAACAUGCUGAACACCUGUCUUAAUUCAAGGCACUAACCUAUAAACAUGGGUUAGCCCUGUCAGAGCCAAAGAUGAAGAUAGGCCUUGAUGAGGUAGACUUUUUGAGAUUACACAUCAAAUAGGGAUUCAUCAUUCCUCAUCCACAUAUUGCUGAAAAAAUAUCCCAAUUUCCAGACCAGCUGUCAACUAGAAAGCAAAUCCAGCAAUUCCUCGGGAUAAUCAACUAUGCAGCAGACCAUGUGCAAGAUCUGUCAAAGAUGACAAGUCAGAUAUCCAAGCACUUAAAGAAGGGUGCCCCACAAUGGUCAGGAGAUGCUACAAAAGCCGUGAAAGACUUAAAGCAAAAGUGCCAAUCACUUCCACCAUUAAAGAUACCUAACAAAUGACCGCUCAUCUUACAGACAGAUGUUGGUGACCAUUAUUGGGGAGCACUGUUGAUAGAAGAAUCCGAGGGAAACAGGAAAGUUUGUGGCUAUAAAUUUGGACAGUUCAAUGAUGCUCAAAGCCACUACCCUUCCUCGAAGAAAGAAGUCUUAGCAGUCGUCAAAGGGAUCAAGAAGUUCCGAUUCUUUCUCUCUUUAACCCCUUUUUUGAUUGAAACAGACUAUAAAUACCUCUAGGGAUUGCUCAGAAGAAAAGAAUGAGAAAUCCCUGACCCUCAACUUGCAAGGUGGUCUGAGUCUCUCUCGAGAUUUAAGUUCGAAGUAAGACACAUCAAAGGAGAAUCCAACACUGUAGCGGAUUUCCUUUCCAGACAAUCACCAUUAUCAGAUGAAGGAAUCUUCCAAGAAGAUGGGAAGAAGGCAGCUCUAGUGCUCAUGAAACUAGAGCACAUUUUCUCAAAAAUCUUAACACUUUCAUAGCAUGGCUUCCCUCAGAAGUCCAGGAAGAUAUCUUUGAGAAAAUCAUCACCCACAAAAGAGAUCCAGAAGAUCAAGUUCUAACAUGGCGGGUAUGGCAACUCAUGGCUAUGCAAGAACACAGACCUGCCCUCAACAAAAGAUGUCAGAGAGCUUUUGAUCUACAUCCAAAUCUUGACCAGAUGCACGAAACGGUCUUCAAGAUCGGUUGCACCUUCCACUAUGUAAUAGAUGAAAACUCCAACUGGGGUCACUAUGUUAUCUAUGACAUAACCCCACAAGCCUAUUACAUAACGUGGUACUGGCUGAACAUCUACCCUGUAGCAAUACUGUUCGAGCCAAAUCUUAUCCACACCAGCCGAAGAUAUGACAAGGGAAGGUGGUUUGACAGAAUGUUUGCCCCUAUCUUCGAAGAUAUCCUACCACUUAAGCUCAUCAAUGGAUACAACAUCACUCACUCUACCAUAGUGAUUGUGAAGCUCACGGAUAUCUGGGGACGAUAUAAGAAGCCACUGAUACAGGUAAUCCAGCAUGACCACUCCCACGAAGAGAUUAAUUCCAUGUGGACAGGCUGUUGGAAUGCUAGAAAGGCAUUAGCAGAGGUAUAUGGGAUUGUUCCCAUGUACAAUACUCACAGUCCAGUAUCCCCACAAGUCUGCAGUACUCCAGAUCUCUAUUACAGAGAAGAGAUCAGGAAUCUCAAGCUUCAUGGAGAAGAUGAUGAAGCAGCAGACAUACAGCAGAGGUAUAAUGACUACCUUACUCGACAUGGCAGGCCAAAGGAAGUCACUUAUCUGGACACUCCAGAUAUUGACAGAUGGACGAACGAACUUGAAGAGAUGGCCCAUUGGCUAGACCUCCAAGAAUGGCCCCAACCAGAACUAAACCCAUAGCCAGACAACAUAGAAGACCCCAUAUGGCCAACUAUGGGAGAAGACAUGGAUGCAGCAUCCGAGGAAUGAUGGAACCAUAGGUCAGGACGCAACAUGCCAACAAGUGGCAACACUAGACUGUAUCGGAAGCUUAGUGGACCCUACAGUGGAAGCAAUGGUGAUAAUAAUAUAUGUAUUUGUAUUCGUAUGUAUUGAGUACCAUCCUUAGAGAUAAGGAUGAGAGUGUGAGUGUGACAUAAAGUAAGGAGUGAGUUGUAAAGUAGAUUCCUUAGAGAUAAGGAUCAAUUAUGUACACAGUUGUAAUAGUGGUUCCCUUGUGCCUAUAAAAGGGAACCCUUGGUUUGUUUCUAGGCAUCGAGUCUUGGAGUCCAAUAUUGUAUUCUAAAUCUCUCAUUCCUAUUAAUGAAGUAACCUUCCUCUGUUUUCAAGAAAUCCAAAUUUUAGUUUUGGUUUAUUUACACUCUAAUUUUAAUAUGCUUUCAUCUCACUGAGAUUUAAGUUGACCAGUUGAAAAUAGGGCAUGUUAAGAUUACAUUACAUGAAAUUUCUAUGCUACACACCCAUAUUAUAAUCCAUGUCUUUUAGUUAUAUUGGCAUAGUGACCAUUGAUGGAUCGAGUUAUAAUAGUUAUAACAAAGGGCGCCUUUGAUCCUAUGUUGGUAUAAUUGAUAGACUUGAUUGGUUAUUGAUACAUUUCGAUUAUGAUAGUAACGUUGAACUCAUAUAGUUAUAUUUACAAAGCAUAAUUAUAAGGUUACAUAUAUAGCCCAAAUGGGAGAUUGUUGAAUUUUUUAAUCUAGCAUUGUUGGAUCCUUAAUCUAAUGUUGGGCUUAUAUGUGAAUAAUUAUGUAUUGCGAACUAUCAUAUAUGGAUAAACCCAAUUAAAAGUGAUCUAUUAAGGUUUACAGUAAUAUAGGUUUUAAUGUAUCUAAUAAGGUGUGGACCUUCAAUUUGUAGAGCCUUAAAGAUAAUUUCUAUUUCUAUGACUGGCCGAAAUAGGAAUACCAAAAGACAAUAGAAAAAGUUAUUUAUAUAAGUGGUCAUGGUCCACAGGUCACAUGUAUCAUUCUAUUCUUUCUGACAUCCUAUCAUCAGAGAGAGAGAGCAUAGAGAAAAUUAAAGAAUUCUUUAGGAGAACGUGUUAAUCUGGAAGGCAAACCACAACUCUAGAGAGUAAUUAAACAUUAUGGAUUUAGGUUUGCUUUUGCUUAUUUUGUUAUUGAUUUUUAAUGAUAUCAAAUGAAUGGUCCUGAAUUAUAGGUGAUAGUUUUCACCAAAAAAGCCUUGAGGAGUUGAAGAAAAAUUAAUAAAAGAAAAGUAAAAAUAGAAAUAAAAAGGAAGGAGUACUAGCCAUAAUGAUUUUAUAAAGAAUCUAAAAACCUAUAUAAUUAUAAUAUAAUCCAAAGGUUUAUUGAGCAUAAUUAAAAAGUUUGAGCUCAAUAGCGAGUCAUGAUCAAUGAAUAAGGAUGUUUGUAUACUAAUUCAAACUUCUAACCAAAAACAAAAAGUUAUAAUAAUAUUUAUCUUUAUGAUCGUACGGUCAUUAGCAGUGCUCUAUCAUGAAGCAGUUCCAAUAUAACUUGAUUCUAAUUAAAAAAAAAAUUCUUCCACCGUUACCUAUCUAAUAAUUUCCACACUAAUUUGAAUUUUGACCAAUAUAAUUUCAUAAAUUCACACCAAACUAAAAAUCUAUCAUUUUAAAUUAUUUAAUAUCAAUUACAAUUAAAUAUUUAAUUUUGUAUAACAUAUAUUAUUCAUGGAUGGACAAUAUUAUGAUAGACAAUUGUCAUAUGAAAAUAAUAAAUCUGUGACACAUAAUACAUCAUAAAAUCCAUGACAUAUAUAAACUAUCAUCAGAAAUUUUUUGACACAGGUUUUAGUGACGGACACAUGACUGUCAUCUAAUAAGGUGUAUAAUGGUAAAAAAGUAGUUUUUUUAUUGUUUUGUGAACCUAGUUAGCUUUUUGUUUCCUAAAGAGCUCUUAGUUUAAAAUGAAUAAAUUUUUGGAAAAAGAAUAAUUGUACUUCCCAAAGUUUAGGGAAUGGUCACGAAAACUCCUAAGUUUUUAAUAAAAUACAUCAAGACUGUAUUUUGACCAUAAUUUUAUUUGUCUCUAUUAACCCGAAAGUUUAUUCUAAUAUUUUGUAAUAAAUAAAAGAUAUAAUAUUAAAAUAAAUGUAAAAAUGCUUAAUAUUAUUAGUCUACUAGACAAAUUAAGUUACUUAUAUUAUAUUAGUAUUUAUUAAAAAAAUUGAAGUCAAUUUUUAAUUAUUGUACUUAAAACGUAUUAUGCUUAAAAAAAAGGGCAUCAAUGUCCAUUUAAUAAAAAUUUACGUUAUCUAUAUGAUAAUUUUUCUAAACUUUGGGAGUAUAGCAUCAACAAAAUUUUUAAGUAUAAAAAUUAUUUUCACAUAAAAAAACGUAUUCUUAGUUUAUUAUAAAACAUCUUUAUUGAAAAUAAUAAAAUAGAAAUUAAAUUAUAAAACAUUUUUUUCAUUCAAAGCAAUCAAAAUGCAUUAAUUUAUUUCCUGGGAUCAAUGAAAACAAAAGUAAGAUAUCCAAUGGUGGGUAUCAAAUUUCUGAUUUAGAUGGAGUUGAGCCAGUAUGAUUGCUGAUGUUGAUGCAUAACUACUAUAUAAAAUCAUUGGCUAGUUCGUGUUUUGGGCCGGUGCGGUACAAGAUUUGAGGAGCGUGAAAAAGACACUCGGCUCAAUGACUCUUGCGAAAACAAAAGGAUCGAAAGCAGAGCGCGUGGUAUACACAUUUGAAUGACAUCGAACUUAUGUAGCAGUGAAAAUGAGAAACAUAUUGGGUAGUGUAGCAUGUAGGGUCCACAUGACAUGGCAUCAUUACUUAAUAAUUGAAGUCUACGACACGUGGCAGACAUAUACAGUAUGGAGAAUUGGAGAUACAGGUGUAAACUCUCAGAAUGUUCCAUCCAUUUAUAGUCAUGUGAUCUUCUCGUUAUCUAAUUUGAACGGUUGAUGUCUGUGGUGUAGGAUCCUCUCAGCAUUUAGGUGGGGCCCAAAACUGUCAAGAAUCCAUACAUUUUGCGAAGUUACAAUAAAUGUAACUUUUGCAGAGCAUGUAAAAAUUUGUGACAUAGCAGUGUUACAAGGGCUGGAAGUUAUAUUGUUGGUAACUUAGCAAGAUCCUUCGAUUAUAAUAUUGAAGAAAAUUAUAGAUUCUCUCAUGAAAUAUUUAUAUUCAAAUUCAAAUAAACCAUAAUACUUAGCCUUUUAAAUUUGAAAAUACGACACUUAUUGCUUUUUUUUAAUCAUAUGCUACAUUUAAACGCUUAAUCUAACAGAAAAUUAGAAAUUGAUAUAUUAAAUUAAAUUUUAAUUAAAAAAUCUAUAUUACUUCUAACUAAUUUAACUUAUUUUACAAGUCGUAAAUAUCUAUUAAAUUGAAAUAUUCUUUGUAUGUGCGAUGUGACAAUAUUGUAGUUGAUAAAUGAAGCUAAUUACUUAAUUUUGUAUUUAGAAUUUCAGCAUAACCAUAAGCUAUUGUUUAUUGGAUUUUCUUAUAAAAUUUUCAUUUUAUACCAUUUUCACCACAUCAUGGAUUAUAAAUUAAUUUUACUUCUUAUAUAAUACAAUAUAUUCUUUGAUUGAUAAUACAAAAAAAAAAAAAAGUUCCACCAAACCUUCAAGUACCAUAUUCCUAAUUUAUUUACAUUUUUCAAUUUUGAAGCCAAGAAAAUAUGAAAAUAUAAAUUAGGUAAUUAACUCACCAAACCUUCUUAUAUAAUACAAUAUAUUAUUAUUAUUAUUUUUAAAUAAGAACAUUAAACAUAAUAGAACCUUAGGUGAGCGUGUUUUAUAAUAAGUCCAACUCUUCAUAUUUAUAUUUACUACGUUUAUAAUAGAUUUUGAAUUUUAUUUAAUAAGUUAAUUUUAAUUCAAAUGAUUAAACAAGUCUUGAUUGACUUAUGUAAUUAACAAGAAAAAAAUCAAUAUAAUGUACUAAAAAUAACAUUAUAAUAUUAUAUAUUAUUGUUAAAAAAAUACACAUGUUAGGUAUAUAUUUUAUUUUUCAUGCUUUAUUAAGCUAAACAUUAUCAAUUUUUUUGUACUAAUCGAAUAAUUUAUUUAUAACUUCUCAUGUUUUUAAUGAGUUUAACCAAUACAUACAAGUAUUGCUAAUAUUUAUGAGGUUAUAUAUGUCGAAAUAUAAUAUUCUAGAUGUUUUCUUUUAAAAAACAAACAACUUAACGCUUAUCUUCUGUUAUUAAGAAAAGAAAAAAAAAACAUAUUAUUCAGAUAUAUGAAUUUAGAUCUAUUUAGGCUUCAGCUAAAUUCAGACCCAUUUAAAUUUUAGACCAAAGAAAGAAAAAAAAAUGCUAUCUAAGUGUCAUAGACCAUUUAAGUUGGGUAUAAGUAUUUCUUACCUAUACUUGAGGAGGAAUCUGUAAAUUUUCCAUAAAAUUUAGGAGUGAUUCCACCUUUUUUUUAAGACAUCAAUGAUGUAACAAAUAUAUACCAUUAGAUUUAAUAAACAAUGUAAAUUUUUUUAUUUGUGAAAAACUAAAAUUAUUUAAAAAUGUUAUAACCUAUUUCUAACCAUUUAAAAAUUAUUUAAAACUUAAAAAAAAAAAGAGUUAUUAUCAAUCAAAAUCUCUCUCUCUAUCUUAUUGGAUUCUUACUCUGUGGUCUUUAGCUCUUACAUUUGAAGUCGCCAAUUAAUGCGAAUAAGGGUUUGUAUGACUAUUUGAUUAAGGUUGAAGCUGAUGGAAGGUAGGAUGAUACUCCUAAGAGCAAAGUUAUAAUCAAAGACAGUAGUGAACUUCCUUUGUAAUUUCUAAGAACUAUUGUCUCAUCUAAACUAGCGAAUUAGGUCUUAAGGUACACAUUAUUGGUGAUAUUCCUGGUGUCAAGUUCUAGGUUGUAAAGGUCUUUAGUGUUUCCCUCUUGGGUGUCUUCAAAGAGAAAAAGGCGAAGCCAAGGUUCUAAGAGAGAAUUGUUCAUGCAGAUUUUGUAAACAUUUUCUGGUAUUAACUAGUAAAUGUAUUGUUGGGGUCAAUGGCAGUGCCACAUUUGGAUUAUUAGGGGUUAAAACCCCUGCUUAAACUUUUUAAAAUUUUAAUUAAUAAUAAAAUUUAUUUAAUUUUUAAUUUGAUUUACCUUAAAAGUACUUAUUAAGUUAUAAAAAUAACUGGAAUGCACUACUAGAAAAAUGAUUUUUAUUGACAGUAAACUAAUGUCAGUAAUUACUUUGAUCACUGACCAAGAUCAAAGUAAAACAUAGAAUAAAAAACAAACCAGACAUAGAGAACAAAAACGAAGAACAUAAUUGCACGAUACAGUAUUUUGAAGGAAAAGUCAACUCAUUUUAUUGAUCAAAACACUUUGAAUACAAAUCAUAUCUACAGAGGAGAUUGCAUUGAACACAUAGAAACAAAUUUCAAUUUCAAACAAAAUGAAUAACAAACAAAGAAGAAAUCGAAUAGCCAGCAUGUGCUGAUAAUCAGCUUCCUUUUAUGAACUUACAACAACUUUUGACAUGUCAGCGUUUUAUAUCACUGACCCUCGAACUGAAGUCAAUCGGGGCAUUGACUCAAUAAGUUCCUCUCGUUUGCAUUAUUGUCUAAAAGCUUAAGUGCCUUAACUUAUAUAGUAGCCCUGGCAAUGAAAUUAUCCUUUAAUAUUUUCAACAUAUGAAACUAUAUUGAGGUUGUUAUAAAUAUAUUGAAUUAAAUAUAUUAAUAAAUUUUUAUUUUGAUAUUUGUUAUUUGUUGAUUAAUUUUUUAAAUUAUAUUAUUGUUUGAAUUAAACUCCUAUUAGAUCGAAAUCCUGGCACCACCACUAGAUGUGCUAAAAAAGAAGAAUCACAAUUAGUGAAUAUUAUCGGUUUCUUGUUGAUGAGAACCUGAUUUCAAUAGGAAAAAUAUUAUGGGAGCACAAGUAAUGAAUAAUGCAAUCAUUAAAAUUUUCUUUUUUUAAAAAAAAUUAAUUGCUAAGGUAAUGAAAAUUUACUUGGCGGCCAUCUUGAUAGUUUACUUUAAUUUAGAUUUUUUUUUCAAUGUAUUAUGAGUAAAUAAAAAUUGUACAAACAUUUGUCAUCAACAAGAAACUAAUGAGGUUCAUAAACCCCAUAAAAUCUGUACAUGGUGUGCUCUGCCAUGUAGAAAUUUUAAAAUAAAAAACUAAUGGGUUCAUUUGAUUUGAAUCUCAUGGCUUGAAUUAGAAUCCCGCCCUUCCUCGCUCUUAAAAAAUAGUUUACCUCUUAACACUACCUUUAAGUAUAAAAAAAUAUGUUUUAAAGUUAAAUUAACUCAAAUAUAUUUUUAUCUUAAAUUAGUUUUGAAGUGAACUAUUAUAUUUUUAAAUGACCAGAAACUUAACACAUACUUGGGAUUUUCAACACAUAAUUGGAAUUUGGGAAAAGGAAGGGAAAAAAGAAAAAAUUAACACCGUGUUACUAAAUUUAUGCUUGUUGAACCUCAUCGAAGGACUGGAGUGAGUGUAAUACAUAUUUUGUUUAUUUAAUUCUCAAAAUUUCUGGUUUAUUUGAUAUUUUUGCCGACAACAAGGACCUCAAAGAAAGAUUUCAAUUUAAUAUUAUGUAUUCUAGAAUUUCUAAUUUAGCCACUUUCGUUGACCUGAGGAAAUUCUAAUGAAGCCGGGAAAAAUAGACUUCCAAGCCUAUGGAAACAGCCAGGAAAUUGUAUCAUAAAAAUCAUAACAAUAAUGUGUCUUAUUAACAAUAUUUUAUUCCGACGACAAAGCUUAAAAAGUCUCAAGCCUUUUUAGUUUCUUCCAUUGUGUAACAAGGCACAAGCAAAAAGCGUCUCUCAGGAAUUUUUAUUUUUAUUUUUUUAAUUAUUAGUGUCUCAGGAAUUAAUUAGUGAAGAUGAAAGAAAAAGAAGCAGAAUAUUUUGAGAUGGCGGUGUCAUAUGAUACGACGCCAGAAAGAUGUUCUUCUCAAUCGCAACCAUUCUGUUCGUUUCAAAGUCCAUCUUCUUCAGAUGCCUCUCCCAGCUUCAGCUCUUGUGCGUAGUACGCUCUUAAUUUUCUCUGUUUCUUUUUAUUUUCCUUUUUUUCAAUUUUAUCCCUAUUUGCUUUUUCUUAUUGUGAUUUCCAGUUAGUUUAGUAAUUGUUAGCACAAGUUUUUAGAGGUGAUACGAAUCGAAUCCCCAGUGGUGAUUUUAAGAGAAAACUUUUAGCUCUUAAUGGCAUUAAUCUGUUGAGAAAGAAAGAGCGGACAAGUCGAUAAUAUAAUUAGAAAUGUUCUAAUUUAGUAUUCUGGACUUUAUUAAGACUUUUUUCUACUUAUUUAAUGUUUUUUUGCUUGAGAACAUCUUGGAAUUUCAAUUAAUUUUGAACAUUUAUACAUAAGACACACUUUACAUGAAGCAAACUGAAACUAAGUUUAGGUAAUAGUCGAUUGAACUUAUUUUAAAAUCGUUUAGGAUAAUACAAGAUGUAUAACUGGAUAUUCAACAUCAAGCUCACAUCCUGACAAUUAAAGUACAACUAGAUGAUUUUUAUCAAUGUAUAAAUUGUUACACUUUAUAUAUAGUCCUUUUAAAGAGCAGAUAUUCAAACUUUAUGAAGUGUGGACUCAUCCUUUUACAGCGUUGGCUGUACAAUAUUAUAGAGACCUUUAGACGAAGACAAACAAUGACUCACCUUACAGUCAAUGCAGAUGAAGAAGAUACAGAAAUGGGUCAGAGGAAAUGUAUUGAGAGCAAAGGUAGUAACUUCGCUUGCAGAAUUCGAGAUCACGGUAAUCAGUUUCUUCCCUAAAAAUUUUUUCAUGUAUGUUAUAAUCACAUCAUAUAGCUAGGAAAAAAACUGAAUGAAUUUUCUGAACAAAUUAAUUGCAGUGAAAAUGGGCCCAAAAUUUUCUGAAACAGUGAAAAGUAAGCUGAGCUUGGGAGCAAAAAUUAUUCAAAAAGGCGGGAGGGAAAAUAUAUUCAAGCAGAUUUUUGGUUUGACAGAAGGGGAAGAAUUCUUGAAGGCCUCACAGUGCUACUUAUCAACGACGCGCGGUCCAAUUGCUGGACUUCUUUUUAUUUCUAAUAAGAAAAUUGCUUUUUGCAGUGAAAGAUCAAUCUCUUACUCUUCGUCCACUGGAGAACUAAUAAGAACACCAUACAAGGUAAUUUUAAUGAUUUUCUAAAACUUUUUUCCUUAAGAAAAUAUGAAGUUGCUAUCAUAGUUUGUGGUUGAUACGGUCAAUGUUAAUGUGAUAAAAAUUUAUAAAAUUAGCGUGUAGAUGAUGUGAUACCCCCGUCUCACAUAAAAUUCUCUCUCUAUAUAUGUGAGUGUGUGGGUAUAUAUAUAUAUAUAUAUUGAAAUUCAAGUAAUUUGAAGUAUCAUUUCAAUUUUCACCGAGGCCUAGGGCUGGCAAUUUGCGGGCUUGGACCGGGUUUUUUUGAAGCCCAAGCCUAAGCCCACAACAUUUAAACAAAGUUUAGGCCCUUUAAAAGCCUGUUCAAAUUUGGAGAGGCUGGGCUUGGAUUUUUUUUUAAUUAAUUAUAAAAUAUUUUUUUAAUUAAAAAAAUAUUUAAAUUAAAAAUAAUUAUCUAAUACAUAAUAAAAUAAUAGUCCAAUGCAUAAAAUAUUAAUAAUACAACCUAAUAAAUAAUAAAUAAUAAUAUAAAAAAUUAAACUAAUUUAGUAUUUAAAAUUUUUUCUUUUAUUAUUUCAAUUAAAUUUAUUUUUUAUUUAUAAAUUAAAAAAAUCUUAGCUAAGUCUGAGCUUUUUUAUUAAGCUAUUGUCCAGACCCAACGUAUGGGGGCUUUGCAUUUUUUGGACUUGUACAAGCCCAACCCUUGCUGGUCGGGCUGGGCUUGGGUUGGCCUGAGCUUUUUUGCUAUCCCUACUGAGACCUUGAGUCAAGUGGUGAGCUUUUGUUCAAUUUCUAAAGAUAUUUUUUUUACUAUAAUCCUAUCCCCAGGUAAUGGGGUAGAGAUCUCACCUUUUAAUAGCCAUUAGUUAUUUAUUUUAUUAGCUGGAACUAAAUCAUGUCAGAUAAUGAAAAUUUUAUUGACAUAAUUCACAUUUACAGGUGUUGAUACCAAUACAAAAGAUCAAAAGUAUCAACGAAAGUGAGAAUGUGACCAAGCCAGAGCAAAAGUACGUUGAAAUAGUGACCGUAGACGAUUUUGAAUUUUGGUUCAUGGGAUUUUUGCGCUAUGAAAAAGCUUACAGAAAUCUUCAAAAGGCCAUUUCUAUGGCUAACGAAGUGUAAAUAAUUAGGACCUAUUUUGAAGACAUGUUCAGCUAGUAAGCUUUGACUAUCAGUUUUGUGUUAAAUAAAUAUCGUACAUCAUAUGCUUUAAUUUGUAUAUAUGAGUGAAGUUAUGAAGGGUGUUAUGGGCAUUCCAAAGUGGAGCCCUGCGCUGGCUUUAGUGCUCUCGGGUUCAAUUGGAACUUUUUUUUUUCCAUAUUUUUUUCCCAUGUAAAUGCUUAAAGCAUUAUUAAAGAAAAAGAGGAGAAAGGGUACAAAAAUCAAAAGAAUAGAAGUCAAGAGACGUAACAACAGGGUGGUCUCCACGCAUCGUCAUUGAAGAGGCGUACCACUGAUAAAGGAUGAUUAGUCCACCACUUAAAUUUUAAGAAUUUAAACCCAUAUACCUAUAUUAGCCAAAUCCUCAAACUUGAGAUUAUCUUCUCUAUAGAUGUGCGAAGAACGAAACAUGUUCUUGAUCAUGUCUUAACAGUUAAGUCAUUUAGUACGAAAAAGGUCAUGAUAAAUUAUAAUUGUUAUUGAGGAGACAAGCUAAGCUGCUGUCGAGUCACUCAAUUGGGACUUGCUUUACCACUUAUUGUGUAACAUCAUCAAUUGAACCACACCAGUUUUUCAGAUUUUGCUUUCUUGAUCUUUGCUUAUACUUGAUUCUGAUCUCUUGCGAUAGAUUUAUCAUAGGUUGAUUAUUAUAGUCCUUCUAUCCAAUAAGACGGAAAGAUCAAAGAGAGGUUCAUCAACUGGAACCAAACGAGAAUGUAUUCAAUCUAUAUGAGUUAAGUGCAAUUAGAGAUGAUCUGUCCGGAUUUGGAAUUGAAAUUAGCUCCAAUUUUUUUUUUUGGAACAGAUUGGGAGGUAUCUUGAUGGAUGAACAUUGAAAAAUAAAAAUACAGACCGAAUGAUUUUUAAAUAAUUUUGUCUGGUUAGCUCAAUUUGAAUUUUGGAGAGAAAUUAAUUUGCAGUGAAAAUGGGGCCAAACUUCUCUGAAAGGGCGAAAGGUAAUUUGACCUUGGACCAAAAAUAUUCAAAAGGGUGAGAGGGAAAAAUAUAUUUAAGUUGAUUGUUUGUUAAAGACAGACGGCGAAAUUUUUUUGAAGGCUUCACGAUGCUACUUCUCUACUUUUCUACUAGGAGUCAGUGCUACUUAUAUAUUUAUCAUUGUCAACAACAUGUGGCCCAAUUGCUGGACUUCUUUUAAUUUCUACUGAAAAAAAUUAAUUUUUACAGUGUAAAAGGAUUUAAUACUCAUUUAAUCUCUAUAUUUUGACUUAAAUAUUUAUUUAGUUAAUAUAUUUUAAAAAUACCUCAAAACACUCGUGCAGUUAAAUAUACUAUAUUUUUAAUUUCUUACCCUUACUUUUCUUUCCUUCUAUAAUUAUAAACUUUCACUGAUAUUCUUGAAAUUGAUUAAUUUAUCUAUAAAAAAGUUAAUUAGUAAUUUAGCCAAUAAAUAUCAGUAUGAAAGAACUAGUAUUUUUUGUACCCAUGCAACUUAAAAACAAUGUUCAAUAUCCUUACAACAAUCUUACUAGUAGUUAUUUAUAAAAAAAUUAAUUCACCAAGUUAAUCCUAAAAUAAAAAUAAUAAUAUAAAUGUUUAUGCAAUUUUUAUGUUACUUCUAAAAUUAAUUUGAUAAAUUACUAUUUUUUCAUUAAUAUCUCCAAGAAUGUUUUUGCAAGAGUAUUAUUGUAAAAGAAAAGAAAAAGUAAGGAUAGAAAUGUAAUAUGAUUAACAGUAGGAGUGUCUUGAGAUUUUUUUCUAAAAUAUAGAGAUUAAACAUGGACUUAACACAAAAUAUAGUGAUUACAUCAAGCAUUUAUCUCAGUAAAAGAUUAAUUACUCUCUCUUUCCCCAUAGGAAAAAUGAUAAGAACACCAUACAAGAUAAUCUUAAUGGUUUUCUAGAAUCUUUUUCUUUAAGAAACUAUUAAGUUGCUAUCAUAAUUUUUGAUUGGCACAGCAAAUGCCCAUAUGAUAAAAUAUAUAAAAUUAGCGUGUAGAUAAUGUGAUACAAUGAAUGCCGGUUCAUGUGUCCUCAUAGCCCUACUUCUGACGGGAUGGGCACGUCGCAUUGGUUGUCUCUACUAAUGCUUAGUAGUCAGCUAAUAACUUAAAAAAAAGGUAAAAUUGAAUAUAUUCAUUCCACUAAAUUUAAGCUCGUUGAACUUGACCGAAGGACUUGAAUGGAUGAGUGGUACGCGGAGGACCUUUUAUAAGGUUCCAAUUUUAUUUAAUAAUAAUCAUAAAAAUCCAAGAGGACCAAGACUAUGGAACUGCCAGGAAAUUUUAUCAUGAAAAAUCAUAAUAAGAAUGUAACUUACUGAAGAUAUUUUAUUCGGGCAAUAGAGCUUAAAAAUCCUCAAGCCUUUUCAAUUUCUUAAAAAGCCUCGAGCGUUUGAGAUGCCUCUCCCUGCAUCAACUCUUGUGAGCUCCCUUUAAUUUUCUCUCUCUUUUUUUAUUUAUUUUUUUUUUAAUUUUAUUCUUAUUUUAUUUUUCUAGUUAUGGUUGUCAAUUAGUUGAAUAAUUAUAGUAAUCGAUUUUAGAGACAAUGCGAUCGAUUCCCUAGUGGGUCCUGAUAACUUUUCCAGAUAAAUUUGAGCUCUUAAUGGCAUUAAACCAUUGAGAGAGAAAGUGAAUAAGUUGAUAAAUUUUCUAUAAACUACUUUUUUUUAAAAUUUUGAAUAUUCACUUCGUUAAAAAAAAAGUAAUUUUUUAAUAUUCAAAUGGCCACUAUUUAUUUUUCUUUAAUUAAGGAGUUCCUAAAAGAGCCAUAAAUUAAGAAUAGUGACAAUUGUAUAUAGUAUUGGUUGAAUCUAUUUUUCUUCAUUAAUGUGAUAAUAUUAUACAACCUAAUAAAUGAUGACAUGUCAUAUCUUUCAUUAAUUUUGGAUUUAAACAAUGUAUCCCAGCAAUGGGUACAUGUAUCAUGACUCCGCUUUAUAUCUGCAAUUAAAAUUCAGGACUAAUUUACGAUGUCAUAAUUGAAUUUAAGACAUUGUAAAGAUAUGUUUAUGACAUCAUAAGUUUGUCCAAGACUUUAAUGCCAAAUUAAAAAAAAAUUGUAUGUCACAUAACUCUUAUUUAUUUGUAACUGUGAUGUAGAUCUCAGUGAUAUUGGUCAAAAUUUUUUAAAAAUAUGCUACGUAGAUUCUUGAUUUUAAUUUAAUAGAUAGGAAUAGAUACAAUUUAAAUUAAAUGAGAGGUAAGCUAUUCAAGUAGGCAUUUAUUUGGAUCGACUGCAUGCAAAAUAAAAAUAAUGAGGGUCUGCUUGUAAUAUUCCCAUUAUUUAAUUUUACUAAUUUAUAAAAUUAUUGUAAUAAGCUGUGGAUAUCCAAAUUUUAUAAAUUUCACACUCACUCUUUUAUAGCACCGUAAAGUAGCAAUACAACAUAACAAAGGACCUUGAUACACCAAAGGGCUUGUAGCCUAUUGACAACCCAUGCGCCCAAUUGGGUUCGAGUUCCAACAAUAGCCCAAUUGGGUUUGAGUUUCAACAAUAGCUAGGAUUUGAUUUCACUCAUAGUAGGGAUUUAUUUGUCUCCCUUCAUUUAGAGUAGAAUAGAUCUUCUUUAGUAUUAAGUGAGGGUUGACCUUUGAGUUAUGCCAUAAUAGAAUUACUAAAGGGAGUCCCAAUCGAUUUCUGAUUGUAAAGAGCUCUGAUUGUAAUAUAUUAGUAUAUUAAAAAAAAGGCCCUUGAUUCAAAAUAAAUAAUGAUUCACCUUAUCAUCAAUGCACAAGAAAUGUACUAAGAGCAAAGGUUGGUAAAUUCGCAUGUAAAUAAUAACAUGAAGGAACACUUUAUGUAUGCAAAUAAUUACAUCACAUUGAAAAAAAACUGAAUGAAUUUUUUGAACAAGUUAAUUUGCAGAAAAUGGGCACAAAAUUUUUUGAAAUAGUGAAAUGGAAGUUGAGCUUGGGAGCAAUAAUUAUUCAGAAAGGCGGGAGAAAAAAUAUUCUCAAGCAGAUUUUUGGUUGACAGAAGGCAAAGAAUUUUGAAGGCCUCACAAUGACACUUAUCAACAUGUGACCCAAUUGCUAGACUUACUUUUUAUUUCUACGGAUAAAAUUACUAUGAGGGGUGCUACUGGCGCCCCGCCUCUGCAGUUGAAUAUUUUCAAGGGUUAUUGACAGGUGGUAUUAGUCAGUUUCAGCAGUCAAACUUUGAUUUUACUCCGUCUCUGGUGGCUAUCGGGGAUGAUGUGAAUCUAUGUAGAAAGCUAGAUAUGGAUGAGGUUAGGUAGGUGGUUUUCUCUAUUGAUCUUGACAGUGCUCCGAGUCCUGAUGGGUUCUACAGUAAGUUUUAUUAGUACUGUUGGGAUAUUAUUAGCAAUGAUUUAUUAGAGGCUGUCCUUGAUUACUUCAGAGGUUCGACUAUGCCUAAGGUUUUCAGAGUACAUUAUUGAAUUUUUUUCCUAUGAAGUCGUCCCCAACAUCUUGGAUAGAUUUUAGACCGAUCAGUUUAUGUAAUAUUAGUAACAAGGUUAUGACCAAACUGCUUGCGUUGAGAUUGGCCCCUCUGUUGCCUCAUCUUAUUUCUCAUUCUUAGAGUGGUUUUGUCCCCUAGUAGAGUGAUACAUAAUAAUGUGCUUUUGGUUUAGGAGUUGGUCUAUGAUCUCAACCAUUGUACUCGGGGAAAUAAUGUGGUGCUGAAGCUUGACAUGGCAAAGGCUUGAUCGGAUGUCAAGGUCUUUCAUUAUUAAGAUGUUGCGGUGUUUUGGGUUUUCAAAGCGGUGGGUUUCUUUGAUUCGACGAGUCCUUAGUUCUCAGUCUUGGUGAAUGGAGUCAGCCAUAGUUUUUCUAGUUUAAGGGAGGUCUUAGGCAGGGCGAUCCUCUCUUCUCAUGUUUAUUUAUCAUUGCUACUGAGUUUCAAUCUCGAGGUUUGGACCGUAUAUACGCUCAAUAUCCUUCUAUGCGAUAUUGUUCUGCCACACCUAUCGUUGUCUCUUAUUUAAACUUUGCAGAUGAUAUUGUUAUUUUUUUAAAUGGGAAUCGAUCGAGUCUUUAGCGACAAUUGAUUAAUCAAGCCAAAAGCAGUUUUUACAUUAGAACUUUGGCUUUUGCUUCACGACAGGCUAUUGUCCAUUCAAUCACUGACUUUCAGUGGUGUCAGCUUCCAUUCACUUAUCUUAGGUGUUCGGUCUUUACAAGGCAUCUCAAGAUUUCUCAUUUUGAUGAUAUGGUCCAAAAAAUUAGGGAUAAGAUCUCGAAAUGGGCCAAUCGGUUGCUUUCUUUCGGUGGGAAGCUAGUGCUUGUUUGACAUGCGUUGUCUUCUAUGCUGUCGUGUUCUUUGCCCACCUACAACUGUAGUACAAUACUUAGAAAGGUUCUUCAACCUAUUCUUAUAGGGUGAUUCUGUGUCAAGAUAUUAGAUUCAUUGGUGUAAACGAGUCAGGUUUAGGUUCGUCAUUCCGCCUCUCCUCUUUAGAGAUGACUAUGUUCGGUUUGGUGGGUUGUUGAACCUCAUAUGCAUUGGUCGGUCGGUUGUGGUGAGUUUUAGGUAUGAUUGCUGGCUAGCCUCUUGCCCUUUGGCCUCCUAUAAUCUUGCAGCGGCUUCUGGGGUGCUGGUUUCUUUUUAUUGGUGAGGUACAACAUGGGAUCAAGGUAAGCUCUAAGAUGUGUUACCCUCUUCGAUUGUGGCACAAAUUUUAUUGGUUCCUUUCUCUAGUAAAAAACUUGAUAUAAUUUGGUGGGCUUCCAGCCAUGAUGGCCUAUUUCAUUUGCGGACAGCGUGGGAGCUUGUGCAUUGUUCUAGGCAGAGAGAUGAGGUUUUUUUCGCUUAUCUAGCAGCGACAUAUCCUUCUAGAGUUUUCUUUUUUCUCUGGCAGAAAUUGCAUGGUUUUUUGGCUACUGAUAAUGCCUUAUGUUAGAGAGGAAUUUGUAUGGUCUCCUGGUGUAUUUGUGAUAGGGUUGAGACUUCUCAGAAUUUUUUCCUUGAUUGCCCACAUGUUAGGUUAAUAUAGGUUAAUUUUUGGGGAAAUUUAGGUAUGCGAGAUGUGGUUUUUUUAACCCCGCAUGCUUUGCUUUGUUAUUGGAGACGGUGUGCAUCAACUCGGAGUCAUAUUUGAGUCCUUUUUCCUUACUUUAUUUUGUGGCAAGUUUCGAAGGCUUGCAAUGCUUUCAGGUUUGAUAGGGUAGAGAUCUCAUCUCUUAAUAGGCAUUGAUUUUUCUAUUAGCUGGAAUUAAAUUUAAUGGAAAUUUUACUAGAUAAUUCACAUUUACAAGUGUUGAGACCAAUAAAGAAGAUCAAAAAUAUCUACGAAAGUGAGAAUGUGAACACGCCUGACCAAAACUACAUUGGAGUAGUGACUGUGGAAGAUUUUCAAUUUUGGUUCAUGGGGUUUUUGCGCUAUGAAAAAGCUUGCAUAAAUCUUCAGAAGGCCAUUUCGAAGUCAACGAAAUUAAAUGAUUAGGAUAUAUUUUGAAGACAAUAAGCUCAGCUAGCAAGCUUUGACAAUCAUUUUAAAAUAGCGUACUUCAUAUCAUAUGCUUUAGUUCUGUGUAUAUGAGUAAAGGUUAUUAUAUAUCAUAUAUACCUCCUGCAAGUAAAGAAAUUGCAUUUUGGUUUUGCUACAAUUGCAAUUAACAAUUUGUUAUUUAUUUUUACAUAAAUGCGUAAAGCUUUAUUAAAGAAAAACAGGAGAAGAGGUAUGAAAAUUACAAGAAUUAAAGUUAAGAAAAAUGAUAAUGGUGUAAUCUCUACUCAUCCUCCUUAGGAGGCGUAUCAUGAAUUGAGGAGGAUCAUUCCACCAUGUCAGAUUCACACAAUUUAAGUCUAUAUUAGUCAAAGUAUCAGCCACAAGAUUGCCUUCUCUAUAAAUGUGGGAACAAUGGAACUGCAUGUUGUUGAUUAUAUCUUAACAAUUAAGUCAUCUAGCGUGAAGAGACCAUGAGGGAUUAUAAUUGUUAUUAGGAAUAAAAGCUAUAACUACUGUGGAGUCACUCAAUUGGAACUUCCUUUACCACUUUUUUCCAAAACAUCAUCGAUUGAACCACACCAGUUUUUUCAGGUUUUCCUUCCUUCAUCUUUGCUUGACAUGAUCUGAUCUUUGUUUGUAAUUGAGUAUGAUUUCUUGUGGUAGAUUUAUCAUAGGUUGAUUAUUAUUGUCCACAUCCAAUAAGAUGGAAAGAUCUAAACCAAGUUUAUCAACUGGGAUUCCAUACGAACGUGAAUGUAUUCAAUCUAUACGAUCUAAGACCAAUUAGAGAUCGAUGAGAAUUAGGAAUUGAAAUUGGUCCUAAAUUUUUUUGUAUAGAUUGGGAAAUAUCUUGGGAUCCUGAACCUUUUUACUAUUUUUCUUUAAAUUUGUAUCUGAAACUUAAAAAAGAAAAAAAUAAUAACAUAGUGGUUUUUAAAUAAUUUUAUUUAAUUAGUUUAGCUCGAAUUUUGAGAAAUUAGAUAUUAAAAAAUUGAUUUAAAUUUUACAUAUCUCUCUACGUUUAAGAAAAAAUGGAACAAAGACUAAAAUCUCUAAUCACUAAACUUGAUCUAAACAUGACAAGGUCCACGUCCAUGCUAGUAGAGAUGGUAAAAAUAUUCAGGUCCAGUUUAGAUUUACAAAGAUCUGGAAGGUCUGGAUCAGGAAAAAUCUUAUCUGCGCUUUAAAAAAUGCAGGUCUCGAUAUUAAAAUUGAAAAUCCAUACGGAUUCGGGUGUAGAUCUAAAUGCAUGUGCAUCCAAAAAACCGGAUAUCUGGAUCUGUGUUAUUUUUUAAUUAAUUUAUUGAAUAAAUUGGUAAUUAAAAUAUUUUAAAUACUUGGAAUAUGGGACUGAGUAUUAGAAAUGGUUUGGGAUUAAUUAGUCCUAAUUUUAGUUCUGAAUGUACAACCAAGACAAGAUUUGGUCCAUAUUGAUGGAAACAAAAAAAUUAAUUACACAAUUAUUUGUCUCUAUCUUAACUAUUAAUUUAGAAAGAUUGAUGGUCAAAUAAAUAAAGAUUGAUUGACUCAAUUUUUACUAAUCAAUCAUUAUUCCUAAAUUAUUUUAUUUUAAUUGGUUAAUUUCCUUUUUUAUGUCUCAAAUACUUGCAAAAAAUGAUUUGCAAGAGUGCUUCGUUUAGUGAAAUUUGUUUUAUAACUUAUUUUUGGAGAUUCAUUGAAAAUUAGUGGCGUGGAAGUAACUAAGAACUCUUGCUUGUUCUUAAUUCGAUUUCUUAUCUAUUAAAACGAAAAUCAAUUUCUAGUGCUUGCUAGACUGAUCAUAGGCUGAUUAAUCAGUCUUUAGAUCACAUGGCUGGGAAGGCUUGAGUGACGAUAUAGAGCUCCACUCCCACGUUAAGUUAAUUAUCAUUUUAACUUGGCUUAUGAAUUAUAACAAAAAAUCUUGUCCUCAACAUAACCUAAAUAGGAAAAUGAUAAGUUAACCAAAAUAACAACAUGAUAAAGACAGCUCUAAACUAUUAUUCGUGAACAAGCAUGCAAACAUUAAUUAAUUCUUACUGUUACAACUUUUAUUCAUUUAGCAAAGCAUCAUUCUAUAGACGUUCAGAUGCGCAUAACGUAAAAACAUAACAAGCUUUAUUUUUAACCUCAAGCUUUUAUUCAGCAGCUCCAUCUUCAAGCCUUUAGAAAAAUAACACUGAACGGGAUAUCACUCAGAGCCAGAUGCCGCACCCCACCGUUCAUAAAAAUGCAAAAAAUUUUGCAAAACUUACAAACCAAAGGACAACAAACAAGCUCGUAAUCACCAUAAAACUUCUCAAUCUUGAACCAAUUUCUUGUAGUUUGUGGGCCAGGAUUGCCUUCAACUCCCCCAAUUGUCACAAACCACUGCCCCAAUGCUGCAUCAAAAUUGUCAAGCUUCCAUAUUGUGGAUUGCACACUAGUUUUUACAACUUCAAAUUUGAUGUUUGAACCAAUGGACUAACAAAUAACGCCCUUUUUAGGGUUUACAGGCGAAAAUGUCAUUGACAAACCAUAUUUUUGUAUGUUUUGCUCUUGAACAACAUGUAGCGGAAAUGUUUUAUUGUCACUGUUGGAAAUUCGAGGGUGCAGCAAACACACAAUUAAAGUGAAAUUUAGAAAUAAUGAUCACACAAGGACACCAGAAUUUACGUAGUUUGGUUUUUAGCCGACAUCCCUGGGUGAAGACAGAAGAAAAUAUUUUACUAGUGGAAAGGAGUUAUAAGUAUUGUAGUAUUUUGUCUUAACCCAAAACUCCAAUACAACCAAACUCUCAAAACACUAGAACUAGAGCUCAAAGCUCUCAACACUCUCAACUUACACCUCUUGGUACUCUCACUUGAAUGAGAGAAAAUGGGAUGAAUGAAGAGGGCAAAUGAGGCCUCUAUUUAUAGGCCAAGCCAUGCCAAAAAAUCAACAAUGGUGGGUAUUAAAAUAAUAUAAAUUUCCACCCAACUUUUCUACUUUAAUGCCAAAGUCAAAAGUUGAUCCCUCCCACUUACCUUUGUUUCCCACUUACUCAGCAACUUUAUGCCAAGAGUAAAAAAGUUACAUGCUAGUUCACAUGUAAUUGUUUGCCACAUGUAUGCACAUGCUCAAUAAUUCUCCCACUUGGAGACUUGAUUGAGAACCAAUCAUGUCUCCACACCAUCAUUUCUUCUUCACAAUUAUCAUGUUGCUUCCGUCCUUCACUACUUCUCGAAUGAAGUGGUAUUGUACCGUAUGUGCUUUGUCCUAAAAUGAAAGGUUGGAUUCCUUACAAUGUGUAAGACACUCUGACUGUCACAAAAUACAUGAUUUUUUCCUUAUUUGUGUCCGAGCUCCUCCAAUAACCUUUGUAUCCAAAUAGUUUCCUUGCAAGCUUGUGUAGCUGCCAUAAAUUCUACUUAUGUUGUAGAUAAAGCCACAACAGUGUGCAGUUUUGAAAUCCAGUUUACAACUCCUUCUGCAAGUGUAAACACAUAGCCAGUAGUAGAUUUCUUUUUAUUAAGGUCUCAUACAAAAUCUAAAUCCAUGUAGCUCUUGACAGUAAACUCUUAUCCUCCAUAACAUAAUGCAACAUCCGAGGAUCCUCUGAUGUAUCUCAGAACCUCUUCACAGUUUUCCAAUGCUCUUCAUUAGGAUUCACCAUAUACCUAUUGACCACUGUCUCUGAUUGUGCAAUAUCUGUUUUAGUGCAUAUCAUAGCGAACGUCAAAUUUCCCACUACUGAUGCAUACAGUACUCAAGACAUCUCAUUCCUCUUUGCUUCAUUGUUAGGACACAUACUUGAGGAUAACUUGAAAUUAAUAGUAAGUGGGGUAGAAAUUAGUUUACAAUCUUACAUGUUGAAGUGCCAUAAGAUUUUCUUCAAGUAAUUCUUCUAAGAAAGCCAAAUCUUUUUGUUAUUUCUUUCUCAGUAAAUUUGUAUCCCUCGAAUCUUGUUUGCUGGUCCCAAGUCCUUCAUUUCAAACUCUCUACCAAAUUUUACCUUUAAUUCUUAGACUCGGUCUUUGUUGGGGCCUACUAUCAACAUAUCAUCUACAUAUAACAACAAAAUGAUAAAAUCACUUUGGGGCCUCUUGUAGUAUGCACAAUGGUCUGAAUUAAAUCUGUUGCAUCUAAGGCUCAUGAUGAAGGAAUUAAAUCUCUUAUACCAACACCUCAGCUCCUGUUUAAGACCAUAUAGAGAUUUGUUCAACUUGCAAACCAAGUUCUCCUUACAUGUUUCAGCAAAACCUUCUAGUUGAAGUAUAUAAAUCUCUUAUUCAAGUUCUCCCUGAAGAAACGCAAUUUUCACAUUUAACUGCUUUAGAUACAGGUCAAAUGUAGCACACAUUGCCAAGACUAUUCUGACUGUCGUAAGUCGAACUACCAGAGAAAAUAUCUCAUUGAAGUUAAUGCCUUCUUUCUAAGCAUAUCCUUUUGCCACCAAUCUUGUACGAUACCUCUCUACUCGAUCUUUGCCAUCACGUUUGAUCUUGUAGACCCAUUUGUUACUAAUGGCUUUUCUACCAUAUGGUAGUGGUAUAAGUUCUCAUAUCUUAUUUUAUUACAGAGAUUCAAUUUCUUCCUGCAUUGCUGUCAUCCACAAAGUAACAUCUAAGUUGUUUAAAGUUUUAUGGAAAGUUAAUGGCUCUCUAUCCUUUAUUAGAAGAUAAUAUGCAACAUUGAUCUCUGUAACAUACUCUGUGUGCCACACCGGUGGUCGUCUCUCUUAAGUUGACUAAGGAACUUCUAUAGCUUCGAACUCGACUGGUUUUUGUUCCUCGUGCUCUGGUGCCGCUUCAAAAGAAUCUAAACAUUUUUUUUUGGAUUAUUUUCCAUAUAUACUAGUAUAAUCUCUGACUUUUCUUUCACAGUGCUAUCAUCCCCAUCUUUCCUUUUUAGUUGAUCUUCUACAAAGAUAACAACUCUACUGAUGACAAUCUUGUGGGAAGUGGAAUCUCAUAGACAAUACCCCUUCACUCCAUCAACAUACCCCAAGAAGAUAUAUCUCUUGGAUUUUAGAUCCAGUUUUAUUUUUUCUUGGGCAUUGUACAACACGUACACAAGACAUCUAAAUGCGUACAAUCAAAAGUAAUUAGCUGGCUUCCCAAUCCACAUCUCCAUUGGUGUCUUCAACCUAAUUGUUGUAGAUGGCGAUCGAUUCACCACAUAACAGGUAGUUUUGGCUAUUUCUGCCCGAAAUGAGUUUGGUAGACCAGCAGUCCUCAACAUGGCUCGUAUCUUUUCUGUAAGAGUUUUGUUCAUCCGCUCUACUACUCCAUUCUGUUGAGGAGUGUUUGCCAUUAUGAACUAUCUCUGAAUACAUUCUUGCUUACUAUUGCAAGAAACUCGCCGUUUGUAUACUCUCCACCAUUAUAUGUCCUCAAACACUUGAUCAUUUUCUCAUAUUUAAGUUUUAUCCGUGCUUUGUACUACGUAAAUAUUGGAAAUACAUAUGACUUUUUCUUGAUUGGAUACACCCAACAUCUCCUGAAAUAAUCAUCAAUGAAAGUCACCAUGUACUUUGCACCUUCUAAGGACUUAUCUGGUGAUUCCUAAAUAUUACAAUGAGCCAAGUCUAUAAUGCAUUUAUUUCUGGCGUCAGAUCUAUUGAUCUUUAAUAUAUGAGACUUACUUGUAACAUAGUGCUCGUAAAACAAUAAGUUCGCCAAUUUAAGCCCUGAAAGCAACUUCCGUUUAGAGAGAAUUUUCAAACCUUGUUUGACAUGUGGCCAAGUUUGAGAUGCCACAUCAUCAUCAAUUCUUUUCCAUUUGACACGAUACACGCAUCAACUUCCUCUAAUGUUUUACCUUUAAACAUGAAUAGAUUGGCACUGAUCUUUUUCACUUUCAUCAAUACAAGCGCAUAUUUGACAAUCUUAAUGAUCCAAUUUUCCACAUAAGUCUUGCAGCCAAGACUAUUUAUUUGUCCUACAAACAAUAGAUUUUUCUUCAAGCCUUUAACAUGUCGUACAUCCUGAAAAAUACGAACUAUACCAUCAAACAUUUUUAUUUUAACAGUACCAAUACCAGCGAUUUCCAAGGCAUUAUCAUCACCCAUAUAUACAAAUCUUCCUAAGAUAGGUUCACAUUUGUGGAGUCAUUCUCUCUGAGAGAUCAUGUGCCAGGUAACUCCUGAGUCAAUAAGCCAAACGUCAGAUAGUUGUUUUCUGCUUUUUGCAACCAUUGCUGCCUCACUGUAUAAAACGUCGCCAUCAUCUUAGGUACUUGCUACACACCUCUGAGCAUUUGAUGACUCAGGAUCUUUACACUCUCCUCUUUUCUGGUUACUCCAACACUCUUUCUUGACAUUCCCCAUUUUGCCACAUUUGUAGCAUCUGACCUUCUUCUUACUUCUUUACUUUGAUCUUCAAACAAUGUCUACUACAAAAUACACAGGGCACUCUCUGUUUCCUUUUUCAAUUCAAAAUCUUAGAAAGAUUUCACAAUUGAAUAAAUCAGUGCAUUGAUUCUAAUUAUUAUGCUACUUCUUUUUGUUAUUAUUAUUUAGCUUAAUGUCAACCAAAGUUUCAUCCUACUCAUUUGAACAAAGUUCGAACCUUGAAUCUAUUGUUUUUAACAGAAAGGAUUUUAUAAUUUCGAACAGAUGAUACCUACAAAAGUUACGAUGCUACUUUCAUAUAGUAGAGUUACAAAAUUUUAUAAAACUUACAAAAAUACUAAAAUGUUCAUAUACAGUAAAAUCUCUAUAAAAAGAUAUUGUUGAAACUAGGAAAGUUUUUUAUCCUGAUGAUGGUUAUUUAUUAAUUAAUGAAGAAUUUGAUAAUUUAUUGGUAAAUUAAUGAAUAUUUAUUAAUUUAAGACGAGUAUUACUUUUUAAUUACUUGUGUUAUUUAGGCAUGUGUAGUAUUCUUUUCACAAAUAUUCGUGCAUGAAUUUCAAAAGUUAUCAUAUAUAUACAAAAAAUUCUAAUAAAUGUAAUGAACAUAUACACAGAAGCACAAAAUAAUGUAAGUAUAUUGUACAUAGUUUCAAAUUUAGUACCCUCUGAAGAUAAAGUGUUUCAGAUGCUUAGAGUACAUAGAUUAAAAAGUCUAUAAGUACAUUGGUCAUUAGUGUAAAAUUGUUUUACACAUAUUUUUAGAAAAGAGUUUAAUUAAAAAAUUAUAGUUUUUAAGAAAACAAUCCUAAUUAAAUGUAAUGAAUUUUAUAUGUUAUUUAUUAUUGAUAUUUCUUGUAAUUAACUAAUUAUUAAUUUAUAUUUUCAUUGGACCCUAAAGGAUUCAUGUAAAAAAAAAUUAUUUUAUGCAUUUAUCAAAAUUGUUAAUUUAGUGCAAUGACCAAGUCAGGACCAGAAGAUUUUAUUAUUUAAAAAAAAUUAUUAAUAAUUUUUAGACUUUUCAUAAGUUUUAAAUUUAUUAAUUUUUAAUUUUUAGUACAUUAAUUUAUUGAAUAUUUAUUCAUCGAUGUCUUACAGAAGAUUUAAAUAAUUUAUGAUAAAGUAAAUGAGUUUUCAUUAGAUGGUGUCAAAUUUCUGAAACUCUAUUUUUGAUAAAAGCACCACAGCCGUUAAUAAAAAAAGAAAACAUUUGCAUUCAUUUAGAUCACAUGAGUGGGCAAAAUCAUAUUUGAGUGAUUACAUGUUUGCUCUCGUAGGAUGGCCUUGGCUACCCAAGUUAUUAAAAGGAAUUGAAAAUUUACCCAUUUUGUAAAUUUAUGUUUAGCCUCCUUAUUUUUCUAAAGGGAGAUUGAAAGUUUGUAUCCUAUUGAAAUGAAUAUAUAUCACAUGCCUUCUACUAUUUUUAUAAUAUUUAAUAACCCUCUUGGCAUAAAAAUUAACAAAAAAAAAAAAGAAGAGAAGUAAAUAAGUCAUUUGCUCGAUAUUUGGUAUUGGAAAUAUAAAAUUAUUAGAAGAAAAAUAUUAAAAGAAAUAAAGUACAAGAAAAAUAUCUUGUGAUAAAUUUUUUAUUCAUAUCAAAAUCUAGGAAAUGUACUUAUUUUUUAUUUUUAUUUAUAUAUUUUAUUUAAUUUAUAAUAAAUAUAAAUAAAAGUGUAAUAGAAAAUAAGAGUAAUAUUAUAAAAUAAUGGUGCCAGGUGAUUAUUAAAUAUUAUGAAAAUAGUAAGGGUAUAAGCAAUAUAUACUCAUUUCAAUAGGGAGGAAACUUACCAUCACCCUUAUUCUAGGCAAUUUCAUCUGUAUAGCAUCUAUGCAUGGUUUAUUUAUCAUAGUCCCAUUGUUGGCUUCUUCAAUUUUAUAUUCAUAUUAUACAUUUUCUGAAUGGAGUUGACUAUCACAAUAAUUUGAUCUUCUUCGUACUUUGAAAUGAAAAUGUUGCCACUAAUGAGGAAAAUGAUGAACCAAAAUACCAACAUGAAGAAAAGUUUUUAUUAUUCGUAAACGUGCAACGUUCGUGCAACUUUUAUUAUUACAACUUAAUUUAUUCACUUAUUAAAGCAUGCGUACAACCCUAAAACGAAACAAACUUUAUUUUUAACUGCAAGCAUUUGCGGAGCUCUCAGCAGCUCGAUCUUCAAACCUUUUUAAACACAACUUUGAACGGAACAUCACUCAAAGCCAGACGCCGCACCCCACCAUUAAUAAAAAUGCCAACAUCUCUGCACAAACCUCUGCAGAAGUUACAAACCGAAGGACAGAAAACAAGCUUGUAAUCGCCAUAAAACUUCUCAAUCUUAAACCAAUUUCUCAUGGUUCUGGGGCCGGGAUUGCCUUCAACUCCCCCAGUGGUCACAAGCCACUGCCCUAAUGCCGCAUCAAAAUUGUCAAGCUUCCACACUGUGGACUGCGCACAACUUGUUGCAGCGUCAAAUUUGAUGUUUAAGUCAGUGGACUCACGAACAACGCCCUUUUUAGGGUUAACGGGCGAAAAUGUUACCGGAAAACCAUUUCUCAAUGAGUGCUGCUCUUGAACAACAUCUAGGGGACAUGUCUUAUUGUUGCUUCUGCCAGCAAGUGUAAGCCCGCCGCCUUGGCCCUUUGUAACGGGCAAGAUGUAGUACUUACUGCCAGCUCGGAGCUGCUUACCGGCGAUGUCCAGCACCGGAUCAGGUGAAGCAUUGCCCCUGACAGGCAAUGGCGUUGCAAUGAAGGCAAAGAGAAGAAUCAGCGAGGUUAAGACUAGUGUGCUUCUCAUUGUUAUAUCGUUAUAUUUUUUGUUCUUAUCUUUUGUUGUUGCGUGUAAAUAGCCCUUAUGAGACCAAAUUUAUAGAGUUAGGCUAGUAUAGUUAAUUAACGGACAGCAAGUUGGUUUGGUUCGCCUAAUAUCUGAUUCGAGAAGCCAAUGGUCGCCUACAAGACAAGAGCGGAUUAUGACAUUCUGUUUUGUGAACUGUAAUUAUUAUUUUUUUUCCCGCCUAAACAGCCUGAUAAGAAGAUUUAAUAAAAAUUCAACAAUAGAAAGCGUAGUUUACUAAUAAAGUCAAAGAUUUAGUUUAGAAUUAUAAGUCAAUAAUCUUACCUUUUCUCUUACACUAAAUUUAAUCGAAUUUAGAUCUGAUUCCUCAGUCUUUGUCAAUGGUUUUGUCAUUUUGUUUAAAUCGCAUAGUAUAUAUGUUUAAUUUUAAGGAUAUGUUUAUUUUCUUUUUGUGCUGAAGUUAGUCUCGUCAAGCUAGGUGUUUGUCGAAAAAUUAAAUUAGAAAAGAAAUGAUAAAGCAUAUGUUUAGGGAGGCACAACUUGUCCCCUCUUCUUGAAUAUAAAAAUUGCACCAAGAAUUUGAAAACAAGAAAUGAUGUAGAAAGACAUUUAGGUGAAGAUAUCAAAGCAUGUUACUAGCCGAUAUAUUGGCUAAGCUCAUAUGGAGAUGCCUGUUAGUAUUAAAUUAUGUGAAAUUAUGAGUUGUAUAUCCUAAAUUUUUCAUGUUAUAAAAAAUAUUAUGUAAUUUUGAAUUUCUUUGAUUUUCCACUCUAAGUUUGUAAAUUAUAACCGUAUACAAACUCAAGAUGGAAAAUCAAAUAAAUUCAAAUUUUUAUCAUAUUUUAUAAUAACAUGGUGAACUUAAGGUAUAUAGCUUAUAAUUUUUCUAAGUUUUAUUUUAUUAUUUACAGUGAAAAGUCAAAAAUGCCUUUGAAUUCAAGGGUAAAAUUAUCUUUUCACUUAGAUUCUAUUGAAUAUUAUAAUAGUGUUAACAUUUUGGUGGGCGGUAAUACAAUUUACAAGCUUAGAGUGAAAAUUCACAUAAAUUCAAAUUUUUGUAUUAUUUUUUUAUAGUAAGGUAAACUUAGUAUAUAUAGUAAAUAAUUUUUCUUUAUUUAUUAAUGUUUAGGCCCAUUUUUUAGCCCAAACGGACUACAAUAUUAAUGAAUUUGUCUUUAAAAGGGAUUGGAGUAGGGAUAGCGAAUUGAUCCAUCCAAGUUGGAUAUCCAUAUAUCCAAUUUAAUUGGGUUAGAUAAUAUAUAUCCGAUGCAUUUUGGAUAUGGAUAUGAUUUUUUUUUAAAUAUAUAAUUAGAUAUUGGAUGGAUAUGUGAAUCCAUUUAUCUGAUUGGGCUAAAAAUAAUAUUUUAUAAAAUUAAAAUGAAGUGAAGAAUUAUAUUUGCCAUAAUAUUCAUUUACCCGAAUGUCAUACCCUUUUCUAUUUUUUAUUUAGCAAAUCCUAGGUUCUCUUUUUACUUCACACGUCAGCUACUAGUUGCUCGCGAGCCAUUGAUCACACCGGUUGUUGCUUAUUCACGGGACAUUGAUAUUAGUUUAUUCCCGACUUUGCUAUCUCCUCUUCAGCGUUACAGCUUCUUCUUUUUCUUAUUUAACAUAUCUUUCUUUUUAUCUUUCUCUCAGUGCAUUAAUAACUACAUGUGUACAUAGCUUUUAUUUUAUGUCUGUGUUUUGAUAUCAAUUGAUGGUCCAAAUGUUGCGUGAACUGUGGAAGUUUUCUUCUUUGCUUGAGUUAAAUGAAUCAUUUGAAAUAUACCAAUAAUUUGGUGUUCGCAUGUUAAUUUAUGGAUAAUUCGACAUAAUUCACAUGUAGAAAUUAUUUUUGAAAUUUAUGGGCUAAAUAAAUUUUAUGGACUAAAAAUUCAUUUCAAACACCUGCCAUUUCUUGUAAACUAAUACUUACUUGGUAAAAAUGGUUAUUGUUUAAAUUACUUUUAUUUGUGAGUGUAUAAUUUGAUGAAUAGUGGAUUUGAAAUAUUUCAUAAACAACAUUUUGGUCAAUAUUUGUGAGUGCAUGUUCAUGCUAACACAUGUAGUAGAAUUUAGUAUGGGUGGUCGAUUUUUAAUCGACAUCACAGUAGACUUCAUCCUGAGUUCCACAUUUUAUUUAAGUUUGUUAACAUUUGUUUACAUUCUAUUUCAAAACCACUUUUAUUUUUUCAACCAAAAAAAAAAAAAAAAGAAAAACGGAAUUCCUAAAGAUAAGCUGACAACAAAGAAGAAAUAAAUAGAGAAGUGAUUAAUAAUGAUGAUGAAUAGGAGACAUAGCACAUGUUUUGAAUAGUGCUUAUUUUUUCUUUUUUUGUAAACAUCACUUUUGGUUGAUGUCCCAUGCUAACACAUGUAGUCGAAUUUAAUUUAGUAUGGUGGGUCAAUUUUUAACCCCAAAUUGUAGUAGACUUCAUCCUAGUGCAUUAGAGACCUUAAUGUGUGCUCAUAAUUAUAUAUGGGCUCAAAUAAAAAGUAUCAAACUCAUCUAAGUUCCACGUUUUAUUUAAAUUUGAUAACAUUUGUUUACAUUUUAUUUCAAAACUGCUUUUAUUUUUUUUAACAAAAAAAAAAAGAAAGAUGAAAUUCCUAAAGAUAAGCUGAUAACGGAGAAGAAAUAAAUAGAGAAGUGACUAAUAAUGAUGAUAAAUAGGAGAUAUAGCCAUGCUUUCAAUAGUGCUUAUUUUUUCUUUUUUUGUGUACACGCUUGAUGCUCAUUAUGAUGCUAUCAUGGUCAUACAUAAUACAAACUAUUUACUUAUUUAAUGCUUUAAUUGUAUUAAUUUGCAGAUUUAUGAUGAUGAUCAGAUUCGAGAUUGAAAGCUUAAUUGUAAGUCAUUACAAACAAGCCUUAUUAGAAGGCUUUUGUGGAUUUGUAAUUCCAAAUGAUAGGUUCUUUUUUGUGGAUUUGUAGUUAUGAUAUUUGUUAUUUGGAUGUUUAUUAUUUCUAAUUUAGUAUUAAAAUCUGAUAGUGAUUUAACUAUUUUAUAUUAUUAUUUUAUAUUUUAUAUUUUAUAUUUUUUUGCUUAAAUAUCCAUGGAUAUUCAUAUCCAUAUCCAUAUCAAAAUUUAAAAAUUAGAUAUGAAUAUGGACAUAUCCAUCAUAGCUAAUUAUGAAUUUACAUUUGGAUGGAUACUUGCCAUUGAUAGAUUGAAGUAGCUUGAUCAAAUGGCGCUCGACGAACUAGAUAUUGGUAGGAUGGUGUGUGUGUACGCGUGUGCGCAUGUGCGGGUUCGUAUGUUUAUGAGAAUUGACAAGAAUUGACAAUCAAUAAGAAAAUGCUUUAUUAUAUGCUUAACAAAAGUGCUAGGCAUGUUUGAUAUCUCGAAAACAACAUCACCAUCCAUUAAUAACACUUCUCUUACAUUUUUGAACGCCGUCUUUUAAAGGGGGCAAAAUGGGUUGAUGGGUUGAAUUAGUGUCAAAUCCUAAAUAACUUGUCGUUAAGUUUUAGAAUUUAAAUUCAAUCUAUUUAUUAAACGAAUAAUAAUAUAAUUAUUUUUUGAUUUGAUUCCUUUAUCUGUAAGUAACAAAUGAAUCUAAUUGAAUUUUGAUUGGUUUAAUUUGUUCAUCUAUAAUCAUACUUUUAUUUUUGUCUUAUUCAUCAGUUAAUUACAAGGCUAGUGUUACCGCUUAAUGAUUUUUGUAUUAAAUUUAAAAUUAUAAAUUUGACUAAGAAUCUUAAUUAACAAAUAUUACUUUUUGAAUAUGAAUUCCUUAGGAAGCAAAGAAUCAGAAUUUUAUUUUGAAAAUAAAAUGCUAAACUCCGAAAUAAUCCACUCUCCUAUAUCAGUCGUCCUUAGUAUUUCUUAUUUUACCAUUUACUCUCUGAAUAUGAUAUAAUAAUAAAUAAUCACUCACCACCAAUGAUUUGCAGAUGAAGAAGAUAGAUCAAAUGGAACACAUGAAAUACAUUUGGUGCAAAAAUGUGGGCUCUAAUCAGGAAAAUGAUGAACCAAAAUACCAACACGAAGAAAAGUUUUUAUUGUUCGUAAACAUGCAACAUCAAUGCAACUUUUAUUAUUACGACUUUAUUCAUUUAUUAAAGCAUGCGUAUAACUUUAAAACGAAACAAACUUUAAUUCAAUUUAUUUUAUUUAUUUUAAUUUCAAUUUAUAAGAUUUACUUAAUUUAUAAUAAAUUUAAAAAAAGUGUAUUCGAAAAUAAAAUAAAAUAAAAUAAUAUUACUAAAUAAUGGUGUGUAGUGGUUAUUACUUAUUAUAAAAAUAAUAUGGAAAUAAACAAUAUAUAUGUUUAUUUUAGUAAGAAGAAAACUAAUAAUCUCUUUUUUUUAAAAAAAAUUUAUCUGUAUAUCAUCUAUGUAUGGUUUAUCCAUUACAGUCCCAUGGUUGGCUUCUUUAAUUCUACAUAUUUUAUGCUAUAAUCGAGUCAAGUUCAUAGAUUCUUAUGGCUCCCCUCAAAUCAAAAUCCUGUAUUACAAGAAAUUAAUGCCUAAUUUUUUCUUACUGGAAUUGAACUAUCACAAUGAUUUAAUCUCCUUCGUAAUUUAAAAUGAAAAUGUUGACACCAAUCAGGAAAAUGAUGAACCAAAAUAGCCACGUGAAGAAAAAAAGUAUUUAUUAUUCAUAGACAUGCAACAUUGAUGCAACUUUUAUUAUUACAACUUAAUUUAUUCAUUUAUUAAAGCAUGCGUACAGCCUUAAAAGAAAACAAACUUUAUUUUUAACUGCAAGCAUUUGCGGAGCUCUCAGCAGCUCGAUCUUCAAACCUUUUUAAACACAACUUUGAACGGAAUAUCACUCAAAGCCAGACGCCGCACCCCACCAUUAAUAAAAAUGCCAACAUCUCUGCACAAACCUCUGCAGAAAUUACAAACCGAAGGACAGUAGACAAGCUUGUAAUCACCAAAAAACUUCUCAAUCUUAAACCAAUUUCUCAUGGUUCUGGGGCCGGGAUUGCCUUCAACUCCCCCAGUUGUCACAAGCCACUGCCCAAAUGCCGCAUCAAAAUUGUCAAGCUUCCACACUGUGGACUGCGCACAACUUGUUGCAGCGUCAAAUUUGAUGUUUAAGUCAGUGGACUCACGAACAACNNNNNNNNNNNNNNNNNNNNNNNNNNNNNNNNNNNNNNNNNNNNNNNNNNNNNNNNNNNNNNNNNNNNNNNNNNNNNNNNNNNNNNNNNNNNNNNNNNNNUUAUUGUUGCUUCUGCCAGCAAGUGUAAGCCCGCCGCCUCUGCCCUUUGUAACGGGCAAGAUGUAGUACUUACUGCCAGCUCGGAGCUGCUUACUAGAGAUGUCCAGCACCGGAUCAGGUUGAGCAUUGCCCUUGACAGGCAAUGGCGUUGCAGUGAAGGCAAGGAGAAGGAUCAGCGAGGGUUAGACUAACGUGCUUCUCAUUGUUAUAUCGUUAUAUUUUUUGUUCUUAUCUUUUGUUGUUGCAUGUAAAUAUCCCUUAUGAGACCAAAUUUAUAGAAUUAGGCUAGCUAAUUGACGGACAGCAUGUUGGUUGGAUUUGACUGUCCGAUUUGAGAAGCCGAUGGCCGCCCAGAAGACAUGAGCGGAUUAUCAGAUUUUGCUUUGUGUGCUGUAACCCACCCACCCCCCCCAAAACAAAACAGCCUGAUUAGAAGAUUUAAUACAAAUUCCAAGCUAUGGAAAGCGUAAUUUAAUUAGAAAGUCAAAGAUUUAGUUUAGAGUUAGAAGUCAAUACGCUUAUCUUUUCUCUUAGACUAAAUUUAACGGAAUUUAGAUCUGAUUCCUGUGUCUUUGUUGAUGGUUUUGUCAUUUUGUUUUGCAUGGUAUAUAUGUUUAUUCUUAGAAGAACAAGUUUUUUAGCUGAAGUUGGCCUGGUCAAGCGACGAGUUUAUUGAAAAAUUAAAGUAGCAAAGAAAUGAUAAAGCAUAUGUAUAGGGAGGCACAACAUGAGCCCUGUCUUUUAAUUCAAAAAUCGCACCAAGAAUUUGAAAACAAAAAAUGAUGUAAAAAGACAUACAAGAGAUGAUCAAAACAUGUUACUAGCAGAUCUAUUGGCUAUGUUGAUAUAGAGAUGUCUUUUAGUAUUAUAUUAUGUGAAAUUAAUAGCCGUACACCUUAAGUUUACUUUGUUAUAAAAAAUAUUACAAAGUUUUCAAUUUGUUUUAACUUUUCAUCCUAAAUUUUCAAAAUCAAAUAAUAGUUUAAAUCUAAAAAAAAUUUGUGAUAACCAAUAUUCAAUUAAAUACACUUAAAACUCUAAUAUUUUCCUUAAAUUCGUGGACACCCAAUCUAUUUAGCCAAUUCAUUUUCUUAAGUAAAAAAGCUAAAUUAAUUUUUAUUAUUUAUGGUGCAAAGUCAAAAAUUCCAUUGAAUUCGAAGGAGAAUUGGCAUUUUACUUAAAUUUUGUUAAGUAUUCUAGCGGUGUGAACGUUUUGCUGAAUGAUUGAUAUAAAUUACAAACUUAGGGUGGAAAAUCAAAUAAAUUCAAACUUUUCUUAUAUUUUUCAUAACAUGUAAAGUUAGGGCAUGCGGCUUAUAAUUUUUCUAAAUUUUAAGUGCUUAAAACUAUAUUAUAUAUCCUUAACAAGGUUCCAACUAAAGUGACUAUCAAGUCCCCUUACGAGCUUUAGACGAGCAAAAAUCCUAGUCUAAAACACUUGCAUGUUUGGGAUGUCUAAUUGAGGCAAGGCCUUAUAGGCCUAACGUGAAACAGUGAGUUGUUAUUUUUAUGACUCCAUGACUAAGUUGAUUUUCGAGUUGGAAAAUGCUUAGUUCUUUAAGGAUGUCGAGUUUGCGGGUGUGAUACAGCUAGGGACUUUGUCUUUGAAUAGGGAUAUGUUGAUAUUCCUAUAGAUGUUAUUGGCAUUUAUCAGGGUCUCAUUCCCCUAUACAAGAAGUUGCUCCAGAAGAAUAAACUUUACCAUCUUAAGAACCUACUCUAUUAAGGAGGUUCGCUAGAGAAAGGAGAAGUGCAAUGCCAAACGACUACAUUGUUUUUUUCCAAGAGCAUGAGGUAAACAUUAGAGUGACAGAAGAUAAUCUAAUCAAUUAAUGUCAAGCCAUAGAAAGUUCUAACUCUCAAACGUGGAUUGAUGGCGUGAAUGAGGAGAUGAAGUCUAUGAAGGACAAUGACGUGUGGGAUCUUAUCCCAUUACCAGAAGGUGUGAAACUUAUUGGUUGCAAAUACAUAUUUAAGACCAAGAGAGAUUCGAAAGGCAAUGUAGAGUAGUACCAUGCGUGUCUUGUCGGAAAGGGCUUUAUACAUAACGAAGGUAGCGACUAUAAAGAAACUCUCUUCGAUUUCUUUGAAAGACUCUUUCAGGAUUCAAUCUUAUACAUCAAAUGGAUGUGAAGAUAGUUUUUCUCCAUGAUGACAUUUAUGAGAAUAUCUAUAUCGUGUAAGCAGAAAGUUUGCGUCAAGAAACCCAAAGAAUAUGAUUUGUAAGCUCAAGAAAUCCAUUUAUAAACUCAAGCAAGCAUCUCGACAAUGAUAUUUCAAGUUUCAUCAAGUGAUUAUCUCAUUCAAUUUUGAGAUGAAUUUGGUCAAUGAUUUCAUAAACCAUAAGUUCUAUGUGAGCAAGUAUAUUUUUCUACUUUUAUACAUCGAUGACAUUUUGCGUGCUAGUAAUAAUAUAGGCUUAUCACAUGACAUUAAGAGAUUUCUAGCUAAAAUUUUAAGAUGAAAGAUCUUGGUGAGCCUCUUUUGUAUUAGGCAUAUAGAUGUACCUGAAUUGCUCCUAAGGUAUUCUUAGAUUAUCACAAAAACGUUAUAUCAAAAUGAUUCUCAAGAGAAAACAAAAGGCCACAUGCUCAAAUAUUAGAGGCUAGAUUUGAUUGAGAUCGUCGGGGUAUAUUGACUCCAAUUUUGCUGGAUGCCAAGAUAGUAUGAAGUCCACAUCAGACUACAUCUAUCUUCUAGUUGGGGUUGUUCUCUCUUGGAAUAAUGCUAAACAAUCUUUUACAACCUCUUCUAUAAUGGCAACAAAGUUCAUAGCAUGUUAUGAAGUAUCCAAUCAUAGAAUAUAGCUGCAAAAUUUUGUUAUGGGACUAUGAAUAGUAGAUGGUAUAGAUAGAUCACUUAAGUUAUCUUGUGGCAAUAAGUCAAUAAUGCCUUAUUCCAAUAACAACAAGAGCUUGAUGAAGUCAAAGUAUAUAGACAUCAAAUUCCUAAUUGUUAAAGAAAGAAUUUAGAAUGGACAGUUGUGUGUAAAGCAUGUGAGCAUAAACUCUAUGAUUGCGGAUCCACUUACUAAGGUAUUGCCACCCAAUAUGCUUCAUGAGCACACUACUUGUAUGGGUGUCAUGUUAUUAGAAGAUAUUUAGUUUAGUUGGAGAUUGUGAUUUUAGAUUCUCAUAUAAUAUAGACAUUUUUCAGUUAUUUCAGUUUAUCGAUAUUUCAGGUUAUUUUCUGCAGAAAUAAAGUUUUAAUUUAUUCACACUCUAAUUUUAAUAUGCUUUGAUCUCAUUGAGGUUUAAGGUAAACCAGUUGGAAAUAAGCAUCUUAAGAUCACAUUGCAUGAAAUUUCUAUGCUGCACAUCAACAUUAUAAUCCAUGUCUUCACAUCAACAUUAAAAUCCAUGUCUUUUAGUUCUAGGCAUAGUGACCAUGCCUGGAUCGAGUUAUAGGAGUUUUAACAAAGGCCGCCUUUGAUCCUAUGUUGGUAUAAUUGAUAGACUUGAUUGGUUAUAGAAACAUUUCGAUAAUAAUAGUAACGUUGAGCUCAUACAAUUAUUUUUACAAAGCCUAAUUAUACGGUUACAUAAAUAGCCCAAAUGGGAGAUUGUUGAAUUUUUUAAUCUAGCAUUGUUAGAUCCUUAAUCUAAUGUUGGGCUUAUAUAUGAAUAGUUAUGUGUUGCGAACUGUCGUAUAUGGUUAAACUCAAUUAAAAGUGAUCUAUUAAGGUCUACAAUAAUAUAGGCUUUCAUGUAUUUAAUAAGGUGUGGACUUUUAAUGUGUAGAGACUUAAGAGUAAUUUCUAUUUCUAUGACUGGUUGAAAUAAGAAUACCUGAAACAAAUAGAAAAAUUAUCUAUAUAAGUAGUCAUGAUCCUCAGGUCACAUGUAUCAUUUUAUUCUUUCUGACAUCCCAUCUAAGGGUUUGAGAUGCCUCUUCCUGCUUCAACUCUUGUGAGUUCUCUUUAAUUUUCUCUCUUUUUCUAUUUAUUUUAUUUUUUAAUUUUAUUCCUAUUUUAUUUUUCUAGUUAUGUUUAUCAAUUAGUUGAAAAAUUAUAGUAAUCGAUUUUAGAGAGGAUGCAAUCGAUUCUCUAGUGGGUCCUGAUAACUUUUCCAAAUAAGUCUUACUUCUUAAUGCCAUUAAACCGUUGAGAGAGAAAGUGAAUAAGUUGAUAAGUUUUCUAUAAAUUGCUAUUUUUUAAUUUUGAAUGUUCACUUCGUUAAAAAAAAUAAUUUUUUAAUAUUUAAAUGGCCACUUUUUAUUUUUCUUUAAUUAAGGAGUUCCUCGAAGAACCAUAAAUUAAGAAUAGUGACAAUUGUAUCUAGUAUUGGUUGAAUCUAUUUUUCUUCAUUAAUGUGAUAAUAUUAUAUCACCUAAUAAAUGUUGACAUGUCAUAUGUUUCAUUACUUUUGGAUUUAAACAGUGUAUCCCAGUAACGGGUAUAUGUAGCAUGACUUCGCUUUAUACUGAAAUUAAAAUUCAAGAUUGAUUUACGAUGUCAUAAUUGAAUUUAAAACAUUGUAAAAAUAUGUUUAUGACAUCAUAAGCUCGUCCAAGACUUUAAUCCCAAAUUAAAAAAAUUAUGUAUGUAGCAUAACUCUUAUUUAUUUGUAACUAUGAUGUAGAUCUCGGGGAUAUUGGUAAAUUUUUUUUCUAAAAUAUGCUACUUAGAUUCUUAAUUUUAAUUUAAUAGAUAGGAAUAGAUAGAGUAUAAAUUAAAUGAGAGGUAAGCUAUUCAAGUAGGCAUUUAUUUGGAUCGAUUGCAUGCAAAAUAAAAAUAAUGAUGGUCUGCUUGUAAUAUUCCCAUUAUUUAAUUUUACUAAUUUAUAAAAUUAUCGUAGUAAGUUGUGGAUAUCUGAAUUUUAUAAAUUUCACACUCACUCUUUUAUAGUACCGUAAGGUGUAAAGUAGCAAUACAGUAUAAAAAAGGCCCUUGAUACACCAAGGCUCGUAGCCUAUUGACAACCCAUGUGCCCAAUUGGAUUCAAGUUCCAAUAAUAGCUAGGAUUUGAUUUCGCUCAUAGAAGGGUAUGAUGAUGUAGCAUUGAUCGAUGACAUGGCAACAUCGUAUUAGAGCAAUGAUGUGGCAUUGACCGAUGAUAUGACGUUGACCGAUUAUGUGGCGUUGACCGAUGAUGUGGUAGGAUGCUAUUGCACCAAAAUAUUGAUGUGGCAUUGACCUAUGAUGUAGCAGCAUAUUAUUGGACCGAAAUGUUGAUCUGGUGUUGACUGAUAAUGUGUUCCAACCAAUUAAAGCUUGUCACGUUGCCCAAUCCUAAGCGUCUGAAUUAUUUUCAUCUGAUAACCAUGAUUUACCUAUUGUAUCUAUAAAUAAAGGGCUCUCCCCUAAUUUGAUGCCCUUGAAUUUAUUUUUUAGCUCUAUUUUAUAUAAUUCUCUCUCUAUCUUGCAUUCUCUAUGUAUUUUAAUAAAAUUAUCAUUUUACCCCUAAUUCAAUUGUGAGUGGCUAAUUUAGUUUUAAGCUUGGAUUGAAGGUGAAGCCUCAACAUGAUCCAUGGGCUUAAUUAGGUGAGUUUAUUUUAUUUUCUUCUCUGAUUUAUGUAGUUGUUUUGACUCAUUGUUGACAGACAACAUAUCCUGUCUAGAUUUUUCAAGGUAUAUCGGCUCCCUAACGACGAACCAUUACUGUCUAGCACAAUGAGCACUUAGCACCAUAUUAAUUAGCAAAAAAUUCCCCUCUAGUAUUUUGUAGGUCGUCUUGACUGAGUGUCUACAGAGAGUGUAUCUAAGCUACUUAGUGGAUGGUUUUGCCACGUUGUCGACAAAAAGAUUAUUAUUGUCUGGCACAGCGUGUUCUUUACACCACACUUAGUAGAAGAUCAUUACCUUUGGCACAUUGAGCACUUGAUACCAUAUUUAUUAGAGUGGGAAUUAUGAGGAAUGAAAAUAUCCACCUCAUAAAUUAAUUAGAACUAAAAAGCAAAUAUUAAGCACAUGGUGAAUGUUGAGUGUGAAUCUAAAGACUCGAGCAUUUCAUUUGCAUUGAUUUCAUCCUUAAUACAUUUCUGCCUUUUAAUUUUAAAUGUUAAAAUAAAAAAGAAUUCACUUUCAACCAACUCACAUUUACACCCAGAAAAUUAACCCUACACACAAUUAAAUCUACUACCUCAUGAGAUCAACACUUGUCACCACAAAAUCUAUUGUACAAUAGAUUCGUGCGCUUGCGAGUACAAUAAAAUUUGCAUAACAUCUCUGCUGUAAUAAUACAAUUCUUAGACUGUAGUGGAGACUACUUGAAUAGAUGAACCAACUGAAGAAAGUGCAGUAGCAGAGGAAUGGGGUGAGGAAUAAGAAGAAGAGCAGCACCUAGAGAAGGACAAAGUUGAAGUUAAAGAAGAAGAAGAAGAAGAAGAAUAAGAGAGUGAAGGGGAUGAAAAUGCAGAAGAGACAAAGGAUGAAAAGGAAGGGGAUAAAAGCAAAAGAAAGUAGAAAAUGCUGCCUGAUAAAGAUUCAGAUGAAAAAGAACAAGAUGAAUAUGAUAUGUCCAUUGAAGAGGUCAUCAACAGGGCUGCAAGAACAGAAGAAGAAAAGAAGAGCUUGAAGGAGCUCAUUACUAGCACAACUAUUAAGCAAUUAGCAGAAUCUCCUCGACUAUCUAUGACAAAUAAGACCCCAAGAAGUCUCCUGCCACAACUCCCAGAGUCUCCAGCAAGAGAAUAUGGGGCACAAAUCUCUGGAGGUGCUGCACCAUAUUUUUGUAUGUUUUGCUCUUGAACAACAUGUAGCGGAAAUGUUUUAUUGUCAUUGUUGGAAAUUUGAGGGUGCAGCAGACACACAACUAAAGUGAAAUUUAGAAAUAAUGAUCACACAAGGACACUAGAAUUUACGUAGUUCGAUUUUUAGCUGACAUCCCUGGGUGAAGACAAGAGAAAAUAUUUUACUAGUGGAAAGAAGUUACAAGUAUUGUAGUAUUUUGUCUCACAACCCAAAACUCCAAUACACCCAAACUCUCAAAACACUAGAACUAGAGCUCAAAGCUCUCAACUUACACCUCUUGGUACUCUCACUUGAAUUAGAGAAAAUGGGAUGAAUGAAGAAGGCAAAUGAGUCCUCUAUUUAUAGGCCCAGCCAUGCUAAAAAGUCAACAAUGGUGGCCAUUAAAAUAAUAUAAAUUUCCACCCAACUUUUCUACUUUAGUGCCAAAGUCAAAAGUUGAUCCCUCCCACUUACCUUUGUUUCCUACUUACUCAGCAACUUUAUGCCAAGAGUAAAAAAGUUGCAUGCUAGUUCAUAUGUAAUUGUUUUCUAUAAAGAAUUGUUUGCCACAUGUAUGCACAUGUUCAACAAUUCUUGUAACACUCCAGUCCGAAAUCCAAGGGUAAAUAUGUCCACAACUCACAUAUGAUUUAAAUAACUCUUUACAAACAAUAAAAAUUCGAGCCUCAAAUACAAAAGCCAGCGGAAUAACUUAAAAAUUUAGCCAAACCAUCUACCAUCUUCAACUUGUCACUCAUCACGAAUCAGUCAUGACUUCUGAAAACUGAAUCACAAUAAACUAUAAUGAGUACAAAACCCAGUAAGCAAACUAGUUUUUCUUAUAUGGAAAAUACAUACACAAUUAUACAUAAUGCAAUGGUUGAUAUGCCAUGAUCUUUUGGAAAUACUGUAAAAUAAAUUCAUAAAAAUCUCUUUUUGUCGCUUUCAAACUUUCUCAUUUUCUUUCGAUGAAAUACGUAUUCUGCAAUGUGGCACUUUGGGUUGUGCGUGGCACUUUGGGUUGUGCGUGGCACUUUGCACCAUGCGUGGCACUUUGCGACGCUCUAGCCCUUAAGAGGUGGCCCUCGCAUAGUCCUAAGAGGUGGCCCUCAAUGCAAAAUCUCAUAAAACAGAAAUUCCAUUCGCUAAAAUCCAUUUUCUCAUUCAUAGAAAACUCAAUUCAUUUUUGUGCUCAUGCCAAUGAACCAUCACACAUACAUAUGCCCAUGUACGUAAUCACGCUCAACACAUGCCAACACAUCAGAUAAACACAUGGGCAGAGACAUCUAAAUCGAUAUCCGUAUAUAUAUCAAAAUAGGCUUUUCACACAAGUCAAAUAUAUAUAUUGUUUAGUGUGAUUCGUUUUAAAGUCUAGUUUACUUACCUCUUGGCAUCCUCAUGUAACAAAUGCGUUAUGAUACCAUCAACCUAAAAUCAUCAAUAACGCCUCAUAAGAUAUAAUCAAAUCUCAAUCAUAAACUCUAAUGUCCUCAAAUAUCUCAAUUUAAACAACUCCUAAGCUCAACCUCAAUUGUCCUUAAUAAUCGGCCCUCAAAACAUAACAGUCCAUACUUCUUCGAUUUUUAUUAAAUUAUUCUCUUAUUGGAAGAAUCUCAAAUUUUACAGACCAUAUGCUGACACAUUGAAAUUUCAUUGAUAAAAAUUUCAUACCAUAAUUCCUUCCAAAACGAUUGAAAAUAAUUCACGUUUCAGACAUCAUCAAUACUGUCAAACAGUUUUCUAGUUUGAACACACUUGAUUUAAAAAUACAAAACAAUUUAUUUCUUUAUCAUAAAAUCAUGAAAAUUUUCAGAAUCAUACUAGACAUAUAUAAAAAUCAUUGGUCCAAAUUUCAUAAUUUUUGAAGAAGUCUAGAUAUGGUAGAAAUAAUUUCAUAAUUCACUGAAAUCAUAAAUUUUCAGGUUUUCAGACUUGACUUUGAAAAAUCACAAUUGAUUGAAAUCUUAUCCGAUUAACUUGAAACAAGUUUCAAAACAUAUUAGACGAUGUCUAGUUUCAUAAUUUUCAUAAAAUCAUGAAAAUUUUCAGAAUCAUACUAGACAUAUAUAAAAAUCAUUGGUCCAAAUUUCAUAAUUUUUGAAGAAGUCUAGAUAUGGUAGAAAUAAUUUCGUAAUUCACUGAAAUCAUAAAUUUUCAAGUUUUCAGACUUGACUUUGAAAAAUCACAAUUAAUUGAAAUCUUAUCCGAUUAACUUGAAACAAGUUUCAAAACAUAUUAGAUGAUGUCUAGUUUAACAUGCCCAAAAAUCAGAAUCAAAAUCAAGUUGUACAAAUUACUAUGAUUUCCGUAAUAAUUCACUGUCAGCAUAUUUCUACAAAAUCUUAGAUUUCUACUUCUAUUGCAAUUGUGCUUCUACACAACAAUUUAAUAGAAACCAAUAAUAAAAACUUACCUCCAAAACUUCUCCCAACAAUAACAACUUGAUCCCAUGUGUUGCUUGUGGCAGAACUAAGAAGAAGAAAAAUACUUUCUUCUUCUCUUUUUCUCUUCUUUUCUCUCUUGUCUCUCCAUCUCUCUCUUAUAAUGAAAAAAGACAUCUUGUUCUAUUUAUACUAGGUUAAAAAGGAUUACUAAAAAUUAAAAAGACUUGAAUACCCUUAGGAGAUUUGGGAUAUUACAAUUCUCCCAUUUGGAGACUUGAUUGAGAACCAAUCACGUCUCCACACCAUCAUUUCUUCUUCACCAUUAUUCUAUUGCUUCCGUCCUUUACUACUUCUCGAACGAAGUGGUAUUGUCCCUAUGUGCUUUGUCUUGGGAUGAAAGGCUGGAUUCCUUACAAUGUGUAAAACACUCUGACUGUCACAAAAUACAUGAAUUUUUCCUUGUUUGUGUCCGAGCUCCUCCAAUAACCUCUGUAUCCAAAUAGCUUUCUUGCAAUCUUGUGUAGCUGCCAUAAAUUCUACUUAUGUUGUAGAUAAAGCCACAACAGUCUGCAGUUUUGAAAUCCAGUUUACAGCUCCUCCUGUAAGUGUAAACACAUAACCAGUAGUAGAUUUCUUUUUAUUAAGGUCUCCUACAAAAUCUGAAUCCACGUAGCCCCUGACAGUAAACUUUUAUCCUCCAUAACAUAAUGCAACAUCUGAGGAUCCUCUGAUGUAUCUCAGAAUCUUCUUCACAGUUUUUUAAUGCUCUUCACUAGGAUUCACCAUAUACCUAUUGACCACUGUCUCUGCUUGUGCAAUGUCUGUUCUAGUGCAUAUCAUAGCGAACGUCAAAUUUCCCACUGCUGAUGCAUACGGUACUCAAGACAUCUCAUUCCUCUUUGCUUCAUUGUUAGGACACAUACUUGAGGAUAACUUGAAAUUAAUAGGAAGUGGGGUAGAAAUUCGUUUACAAUCUUACAUGCUGAAGCGCUGUAAGAUUUUAUUCAAGUAAUUCUUCUAAGAAAGCCAAAUCUUUCUGUUUUUUCCUUCUCAGUGAAUUUGUAUCCCUAGAAUCUUGUUUAGUGGUCCCAAGUCCUUCAUUUCAAACUCUCUACCAAAUUGGACCUUUAAUUCUUAGACUCGGUCUUUGUUGGGGCUUGCUAUCAACAUAUCAUUUACAUACAACAACAAAAUGAUAAAAUCAUUAUCCUCAAACCUCUUGUCAUAAGUCAAACUAUCGGAGAAAAUAUCUCAUUGAAGUUAAUGCAGUCUUUCUAAGCAUAUCCUUUUACCAUCAAUCUUGUGCGAUACCUCUUUACUUGAUCAUUGCCAUCACGUUUGAUCUUGUAGACCCAUUUGUUACUAAUGGCUUUUCUACCAUAUGGUAGUGGUAUAAGUUCUCAUAUCAUAUUCUAUUACAGAGAUUCAAUUUCUUCCUGCAUUGUUGUCAUCCACAAAGUAACUUUUGAGCUGUUUAAAGUUUUAUGGAAAAUUAAUGGCUCUCUAUCCUUUACUAGAAGAUAAUAUGCAACAUUGAUCUCUAUAACAUACUUCGUGUGUCACACCAACGGUCGUCUCUCUCAAGUUGACUGACGAACUUCUAUAGCUUUGAACUCGACUAGUUUUUAUUCCUCGUGCUCUAGUGCUGCUUCACAAGAAUCUAAAUCUUUUUUUUUGGAUUAUUUCCAUAUAUACUGGUAUAGUCUCUGGCUUUUCUUUCACAAUGCUAUCAUCCCCAUCUUUCUUUUGUAGUUGAUCUUCUACAAAGAUAACAUCCCUACUGAUGACAAUCUUAUAGGAAGUGGAAUCUCAUAGCAGAUACCCCUUCACUCCAUCAACAUACCCUAAGAAGAUAUAUCUCCUGGAUUUUAGAUCCAGUUUUAUUCUUUCUUGGUCAUUGUACAACACGUACACAAGACAUCUAAAUGUGUACAAUCAAAAGUAAUUAGUUGGCUUCCCAAUCUACAUCUCCAUUGGUGUCUUUAACCCAAUUGCUGUAGAUAGCUGAUUCACCACAUAACAGGUAGUUCUAGCUGUUUCUGCCCAAAAUGAGUUUGGUAGACCAAUAGUCCUCAAUAUGGCUCUUAUCUUUUCUGUAAGAGUUUUGUUCAUUCGCUCUACUACUCCAUUCUGUUGAGGAGUGUUUGCCACUAUGAACUGUCUCUGAAUACAUUCUUGCUUACUAUUGCAAGAAACUCGCCGUUUGUAUACUCUCCACCAUUAUAUGUCCUCAAACACUUGAUAAUUUUCUCGGAUUUAAGUUCUACUCGUGCUUUGUACUACUUAAAUAUUGGAAAUGCAUUUGAAUUUUUCUUGAUUAGAUACACCCAACAUCUCUUGAAAUAAUCAUCAAUGAAAGUUACCAUGUACUUUGCAUCUUAAGGACUUAUUUAGCGAUUCCCAAACAUUAGAAUGAACCAAGUCUAUAAUGCAUUUAUUUCUGGCGUCAGAUCUGCUGAUCUUUAAUAUAUGAGACUUACUUGUAACAUAGUGCUCGCAAAAUGAUAAGUUCACUAAUUUGGGCCCCGAAAGCAACUUCCGUUUAGAGAGAAUCUUCAAAUCUUGUUUGACAUAUGGCCAAGUUUGAGAUGUCACAUCAUCAUCGAUUCUUUUCCAUUUGACACGAUACACACAUCAGCUUCCUUUAAUGUUUUAUCUUUAAGCAUGAAUAGAUUGACACUGAUCUUUUUCACUUUCAUCAAUAUAAGCACACCUUUGACAAUCUUAAUGAUCCCAUUUUCCACAUAAGUCUUUCAGCCAAGGCUAUCUAUUUGUCCUAUAAAUAAUAGAUUUUUCUUCAAGCCUUUAACAUGUCGUACCUCCUGAAAAAUGUGAACUAUACUAUCAAACAUUUUUAUUUUAACAGUACCAAUACCAGCGAUUUCCAAGGCAUUAUCAUCACCCAUAUAUACAAAUCAUCCUAAGAUAUAUUCAUAUUUGUGGAGUCAUUCUCUCCGAGAGAUCAUGUGCCAGGUAACUCCUGAGUCAAUAAACCAAACAUCAGAUAGCUGUUUUAUGCCUUUUGCAACCAUUGCUGCCUCACUGUAUAAAACGUCACCAUCAUCUUAGGUACUUGUUGUACACCCCUCAGUAUUUGAUGACUCAGGAUCUUUACACUCUCCUCUUUUCUGGUUACUCCAACACUCUUUCUUGACAUGCCCUAUUUUGCCACAUUUGUAGCAUCUGGACUUCUUUUUACUUAUUGACUUUUAUCUACCAUGAUUGUGACUCCCACUGGGACCACAUUUUGCUAAUCUCCCUCUCAUUAUUGUUAGCGCUUCCAAUUGCUACGAACUUGUUUGCUUGUUUUCCUUAUUCUUGUGCCUACUCUUUUCUUCUAAUACAGAGGCUACAACAUCAUCGAAGACUAGGUACUCCGUGAAGAUAUUGUUUAUCAUGUUGGUGAUGAGUUGAUCAUACGAGUCAGGUCGACUUUGAAGUAGAAGCUUUGCACGUUCAGUUUCCUCUAUUUUAUUCCUCAACAUCAUAAGUUUUGAAAAUAGAGUUUUCAAAGUUUUGAUAUGGUCAAUUAUCGUUGUAGUUUCUGCUAUUCGAAGAGUAAAGAGUCUUAUCUUUAAAAAGAUCUUAUUAUGUAGCGACUUGGUCGCGUACAGUUUUGUGAGAGUAUCUCAAAUACCCUUUAUUGUCUUUUUUUUCCACCACGCUAGAUAGUACCCUAUGUACAGGUGUCAGGUGUAGAUUAACAAUUGCAUUACUAUCUAUCUCAUUCCACUUAUGAUCAGUGAUUUUUGCAGGCCUUUCUCCAAUUGCUUCUAAGCAAUUAUUUUUCCUAAAGAUUGCCUGCAUCUUCAUUUCCACAACAAGAAAUUGAUCUCAUUGAACUUUUCAAUCUCAAACUUUGUUGUCAUUCUGUUAAUACCGUACACAAGUUAUUGUACCUCCUUAAAUAGUUAUGAGUGAUCUUGUUUACUUCUAAGGCAUGUUUAUGUUUUGAUGGUGAUAAACCUGUGUUACACAUGUACAUAAAUUUGGCAAGAGUUGUUGAUUCCAGAAAAUUCUUAUCAAAAUAUUUGAUGAAGUAAAGUACAUUGCAAUCACUAAAGGUUGCAAAGAAACUUUAUGGAUGAAGAAUUUCUUGCAAGAGUUGGGUGUGAAACAAGACAGCUAUAUUGUGUACUAGAACAGUCAUAAUGUCAUUGACUUGGAAAAGAAAUGGACAUAUCAUUCGAAAUCAAAGUAUAUUGAUGUGAGGUAUCAUUGGAUACAAGACGUGCUUGAGAAGAAAUAGAUGUAGCUUGACAAGAUUCACACAAUAGAGAAUGGAUCAGAUAUGAUGACAAAGUAAUUGCCCAAGGAGAAGCUGGAAUGUUGUAUGUAGAAAGUGGGCUUGGUGGUGCCCUCUAUAUGAUAUGAAAGGGAGAUUUGUUGGGUCCAUCUCAUUUGAGUGGUCCACGCCUAAAGGUUUAUAAGUUUGGUUAGCUAAGUAAUUAAAAGAAACUUGAAGGGGGCAAAAUAAAGUUUACAUUAAAAAAUUAGGGUUUGAAAGCGUGGUUAUAGAAGUAGGAAUAAGUGGAGGCGGCAACAACUUUUGUGUGUGGGAAAAAGACGAGAGAGAAAUAGAUAAAUAUAUAUAAAUAUAUUAACGAAAAUGUUCUUAUACAUAUUGAAUAAAUUGCUAACUAAAAUACUUUAAAUACCUGGGAUAUGGAAUUGAGUAUUGGAUAUGGUUUGGGAUUAAUUAGUCCUAAAUUUAGUUCUAAAUGUACAACCGAGAAAAGAUUCAGUCCAUAUUGAUGGAAACAAAAAAAUUAAUUAAAUAAUUAUUGUCUCUAUCUUAAUUAUUGAUUUAGAAAGAUCAAUUGUCAAAUAAAUUAAGAUUGAUUGACUCAAUCUUUGCUACUCAAUCAUUGUUUCAAGCAUUUAUUCAACAACUCCAUCUUCAACCCUUUAGAAAAGUAACAUUGAAUGUAACAUCACUCAGAGCCAGAUGCCACACCCCACCAUUCAUAAAAAUGGCAACAUCUAUACACAAAACUUUGCAAAACUUACAAACCGAAGGACAUUAAACAAGCUUGUAAUCACCAUAAAACUUCUCAAUCCUGAACCAAUUUCUCGUAGUUUGUGGGCCAAGAUUGCCUUUAAUUCCCCUAGUUGUCACAAACCACUGCCCCAAUAUUGCAUCAAAAUUGUGAAGCUUCCACACUGUGGAUUACACACUAGUUUUUGCAACUUCAAAUUUGAUGUUUAAAUCAGUGGACUCAUGACCAACGCCCUUUUUAGAGUUUACGAGCGAACAACAUGUAGCGGAAAUGUUUUAUUGUUACCUCUGCUACCAAGUGUAAGACCAUCGCCUCAGCCACAUAUAACUGCUAAGAUGUAGUACACAUUGCCAGCUCGGAGUUGCUUUCCGAUGAUGUCGAGAACCGGAUCAGGUGAAGCAUUGCCUAGGACAAGCAAUGGCUUUUCAAUGAAGGCAAAUAAAAAGAAGGAGAGUGGUAAAAAUAAUAAAGUUCUCAUUGAUAUGUUUUUGUUUUCCUUGGUUCUUAUUUUGAACUGCCAUGUGCCAACCCUCAACAGCUCAUUUUUUCUAUAAAGCUACCUUAGUUAGUCAAUGCAUGGAUACCAAGUAGAGUUGUUAAGGACAAUUAAUUAAGUUGCUGGGUUUCAACUUGACCACUAUGAUGUUCAAUUCAACAAGCAGGUGUCGCCUAUAUAAGUGCGGAUUAUCAUAUUUUGUGCUUUUAGUAUUAUAGUUGUCAUUAUUAUUAUUAUGAUUCUAAAGGUGGCAUAGCCUGGAAGAUUUAAUAUAAUUUAAUAAAAAUUUCAAACUACAAAGCAUAAUUUAUUAUGUGUUAAGUAAGGGGCUCACAAAAAUAGUUGCAAAUUAAAUGGAAACAAAACGUUUUUCCUCUUUGUGUGAUUAAAAUAAGAUGUGUACCAUAAAUAAAUAGACAGAAAAAUAAACCAAUAAAUCCAAUGCAAUAAAAUCAACCACAAGAGACACAGAUUUUACUUGGAAAACCCAAAGCGGGAAAAAUCAAGGGACCGUAGUCCGAUAUAAUCUUCCACUAUUUUAGUAGGAUUAUACCACAAAUUAUUCUUUAGAUGAUACUGGAGACAAACAAUAUUAAUAAUCUCAAUAUUCUUGGCUCAUAGUAACAGCCUAAUAAUUGUCUCUCUAACAAGUGAGUUAUUCAAAUAAUAGCCAAUGAGAGGAUAUAAUAAAAAUUAACACCAUUAGGAUUUUAGAGGGCGAUGCCAAGAACUUACCCUCAAAAUUAGGGGUGGGCAAAAUCGGAUUCGGGUCAACCCGAUCGGAUUUCGGGUUAUUCGGGUUGCGCAAACAUUGAUCCGAAUACAACCCGAACUUAUAACUUGACCCAAUCCGAUCCGAUAUAUAUUCGGAUCGGAUUAGAUCGGGUCAAAAAUCGGGUUGAAUUCAGGUUGAAUCAGUUUGGAUUAAAAAUGGAUCAUAUUGAAUUCGGGUCAAAUUAAGCCAAUUUGGGUUGAUGAAAAUGGGUCAAUUCAAAACAUAUAUACCAAUACACCAUGAAAGCUUCAAAAUUCAAAACACAUAAGGGAGAAACUUGGGUCGGGUUGAAGCUUGAGCCUUGGAGUAGUAGAUCGGCGGCCACAGCAGCAGAUCACGGCUGGGUUUUCAGCAGCAGAUCGGUGGGCGUGCAGCAGUAGCUUGCGCACGGCUGGAUGCGCAGUAGUUUCCUAGCGAUGGUUGGACGCAGCACGGCGGCAGCAGAUCGCGGACGUAGCAGUAGAUGGCUGGACACAACACGACAGCAGCAUGACAGCAGCACGGUAACAGCAGCAGAUGGCCGGACUCGCAACACGGUAGCAACAGAUCGCAGAAAGGAGAGAAUAUUUUCUUGCUUCUUGAGGGUGGGUUGGGUGUUGUGAUUUUUUUUUUUUUUUUACCUAAAGAGGAAGAGAAGGUGCUCUUUGUGUAACCUUUUGAGUAUGUGAUUUGUGUGUGAUUAUGUACGGUUUGCGUGUGUUUGGCCAUAGAUUUUAUUUAUAUUUUUUAAAGCAACAUGAUCGGGUUUUCGGAUUGGAUCGGUUUUUAUCCGAUCCGAUCACAACCCAAUCAGGUUUGUAAGAUUUCAUCCGAUCGGGUUGUAUGAACAACCCGAUCCGAUCCAAACCUGAAAUUUUUCGGGUCGGAUCGGGUUGGGUAUUUUGCCCACCCCUACUCAAAAUUUGGGAGAAAACGGAGUUAAUUUAACCUUCUAAUUGCCUAAUUAAAGAUUGAAAAUCCUGCCCCCAAAUUAUAAUAACCAGCCACUGUCUUUUCUCUCUCUCUCUCUCUCUCGUCUUUUUCUUCUCUGCUCGUCCUUUUUACGAUCAUGAAACUAGACCCGUCGCUUGCUUUUUAAAGCCACUUUUCAUGGCAAUUUUCAUCCAACUCCAAAGCUUAAUAUCAAGCAAACCCUUUUGGGCUUUGGACUUUUUGCCCCCAAAUGAAAUGGACUCAACACUAUGAAAGUCAAAUUUUCGAGUUUAUGUUAGAAGUCAAAUACCAUUGUCUCUUCUCCUACUCUAAGUUUAUUUUUUUCAAAUCCAAUUUUUGUGUUUUGGUCAAAAGUAUUGCCAUUUUGUGUUGCAUUUAUACGGUAUGGAUUUUGGGGUUGAUUAAGGUAUUUCUUUGGAUGAUGUGGACAUUUCAGAGGCUAAAUCUCUUCGCUUUGGCUUACGACGCACUAGUGAGGCUAGUUUGUCUCACUGGUGGUGGACUCGGAUUCGUUGCAGGUUAUAUAGUUUGUCAAUGGCAAACAUCAUACACGUAUCGAGCAUUUUUGGAUUAUUUCAAAAACUGCAAUGCUAAUCUCAGCGGCACAAUUUCAAAAUGUAGCAUAUUUCAAGAUGUUGAACCAUGUUGCUGAUGUAUUAUCUAAAUUUACUUUUCAGUAUUCAGAGUCUUUAGUUUGGUUGGAAGAUUAUCCUAAUUUUUUAAAAUGUUAUCUGCAAGCUGAAUUCUGAAAUAAAAUAACCCUCAUGUAUUAAAAAAAUUUACUGUAUGAAUUUAGAUCUAGUAUUAAGUUGAACUGAGGGUAAUUAUUUAUAAUUUUUCUACCACACAUGUAUGUAUAGUAAUAUACAAUUAAAUUUUAAUUAAAUUUAUAUUCUCAUCCAAAUAUUAUCAAUUAUAUUUUUUUUAAAAAUUAGAAAAAAAAUUCAACACCACUCUCAAUUCAAAUACAUUUAUAAUUACAAUGAUAACAACAAAUUUAUUUGCUAGGUUCACUGGAAAUAUCUGUUAGUAUUAAUUAAUUUAUUUUCCAAAACAAUAGUAAGGAUUUGAUGAGCACUCCACAGUACAAAACAUUUUAAAUGAAAACCUACACGUGCUUUUGCUGGUACACGACCUGCAAUCCGGUCUCAGGCCAUGGGCCGGGCCGGGCCGGGCAAACUCAUGCUAGACUGACAGUCUGGCACGACACAACACCCUAGCACAGAAGCUAGCAUGGGCAUGCUUAUGGCCAUUUCUAAUUGGGCGAAAUCUAUUAAGUCAAUGCAAAAUCUAUUAAGUUUUAACUACUCAUUGAUUUGAUUUAUUGAAGUACGAUAAUGCCCCUGCUUAUGACGAUAUAUAUUAACUGACGUUUGUAUUGCUCCAAAUUUAUUUAUUGAGUUAAUAAUACGUAAUGAAAUGUUCAAAUACUUAAAUGGAUUUGAGUUUUGCCAAUCCUUUUUUUUUUCCUUUGCUUUCCGAUCUCAAAAUGUAAAUUUUGGAAAUUUCAUCUAAUUCAUUUUAUUGCAUUGCUGCUGAGUGAAAUCUUCAUUCAAGAAAUAAAAUUUUCAAGAUAAUUAAUUUUUAUUAAGUAGUCACUACACUAAAAAUCUAUAAAUUCAAUAGCCACCAAUAACUCAAACAAUGUCUACUACAAAUACAUAGGGCACUCUCUGUUUCCUUUUUCAAUUCAAAAUCUUAGAAAGAUUUCACAAUUGAAUAAAUCAGUGCAUUAAUUCUAAUUAUUAUGCUACUUCUUUUUGUUAUUAUUAUUUAGCUUAAUGUCAACCAGAGUUUCAUCCUACUCAUGUGAACAAAGUUUGAACCUUGAAUCUAUUGUUUUUAACAGAAAGGAUUUUAUAAUUUCAAACAGAUGAUACCUACAAAAGUUACAAUGCUACUUUGAUAUGGUACAGUUACAAAAUUUUAUAAAACUUACAAAAAUACUAAAAUGUUCAUAUACGGUACAAUCUCUAUAAAAUGAUAUUGUUGGAACUAGGAAAAUUUUUUAUCCUGAUGAUGGUUAUUUAUUAAUUAAUGAAGAAUUUGUUAAUUUAUUGGUAAAUUAAUGAAUAUUUAUUAAUUUAAGACGAGUAUUACUUUUUAAUUACUUGUGUUAUUUAGGCAUGUGUAGUAUUCUUUUCACAAAUAUUCGUGCAUGAAUUUCAAAAGUUAUCAUAUACAUACAAAAAAUUCUAAUAAAUGUAAUGAACAUAUACAUAGAAGCACAAAAUAAUGUAAGUACAUUGUACAUAGUUUCAAAUUUAGUACCCUCUGAAGAUAAAGUGUUUCAGAUGCUUAGAGUACAUAGAUUAAAAAGUCUAUAAGUACAUUGGUCAUUAGUGUCAAAUUAUUUUACGCAUAUUUUUAGAAAAGAGUUUAAUUAAAAAAAUUAUAGUUUUUAAGAAAACAAUCCUAAUUAAAUGUAAUGAAUUUUAUAUGUUAUUUAUUAUUGAUAUUUCUUGUAAUUAACUAAUUAUUAAUUUAUAUUUUUAUUGGACCCUAAAGGAUUCAUGUAAAAAAAAAUUUAUUUUAUGCAUUUAUCAAAAUUGUUAAUUUAGUGCAAUGACCAAGUCAGGACCACAAGAUUUUAUUAUUUAAAAAAAUUAUUAAUAAUUUUUAGACUUUUCAUAAGUUUUAAAUUUAUUAAUUUUUAAUUUUUAGUACAUCAAUUUAUUGAAUAUUUAUUCAUCGAUGUCUUACAGAAGAUUUAAAUAAUUUGUGAUAAAGUAAACGAGUUUUCAUUAGUGGUGUCAAAUUUCUGAACCUCUAUUUUUGAUAAAAGCAGCACAGCCGUUAAUAAAAAAUGAAAACGUUUGCAUUCAUUUAGAUUGCAUGAGUGGGCAAACUCAUAGUUGAGUGAUUACAUGUUUGCUCUCGUAGGAUGGCCUUCAGGAGUGGCUUUAGGUAUAGGCGAACAAGACCAUCGCCUAAGGCCUCAUAUUUUAAGAAGGUCUCAUUUUUUGAAUAUUUCUUUAAUAAUUCUCUAAUUAAUAAAAUAUUUUUAAUACGCAUUUCAAGAAAUCAAAAAGUUUAUUAGAUAUCUCUCUAUUCUUAAUUAUUCUAUAAUGAAGAAUUAUUUUUUUUAUAAAAAAUCUAUAUUUGGGAACCUUAAUUUUAAAGAAAUAUAAUUAAUAAUAUUCUUUAAGCUUCAUUCCUUUCAAUUAUUCAAUAUCAGCAUAUUUGACUUUUAAUUUUUUUUAAUUUCUAUUAAAAAUCUCAUAAUGUCAAGAAUUAGUAAAUGAAAAAAAUUUCUUGUUCUCUUCUCUACAAAUAAAAUUAUUAUAUUAAUUGGUUCAUUUAAAAUAAUUAGUUUCUUAAAAUAUAAAGUCCAUUUUUAUUUUUGAACAUCAACUUAUCAUUUUAAAAUUUGUAUAUUCUAUCAUUCUAAAUAUUCUAUUUGAAAAUAAAAUUGUUUUUAUUUAUUUGUUUGUUUGUUUUUUAACGGUUUUAAUGGAAUAAAAAAAUCAAUCUUCUUGACUAUUUUUUAGGUUUUAUUUUUUUUAUUAUUGUUGAAAUUCAAGAAUUAAAGAUGGAAUAAAUUUUGAUCCUUUUUAUAUGUCUUUGAGUAUUAAAAUUAAAAAAUAAUAGAGGUCUCAUAAAAAAAUUUCGCCUAAGGCCCCUCAAACUCUAAAGCCGGCCCUGAUGGCCUUGGCUACCCAAGUUAUUAAAAGGAAUUGAAAAUUUACCCAUUUUGUAAAUUUAUGUUUAGCCUCCUUAUUUUUCUAAAGGGAGAUUGAAAGUUUGUAUCCUAUUGAAAUGAAUAUAUAUCACAUACCUUCUACUAUUUUUAUAAUAUUUAAUAACCCUGUUGGCAUAAAAAUUUAAAAAAAAAGAAGAGAAGUAAAUAAGUCAUUUGCUCGAUAUUUGGUAUUGGAAAUAUAAAAUUAUUAGAAGAAAAAUAUUAAAAGAAAUAAAGUACAAGAAAAAUAUCUUGUGAUAAAUUUUUUAUUCAUAUCAAAAUCUAGGAAAUGUACUUAAUUUUUUUUUAUAUAUUUUAUUUUAUUUAUAAUAAAUAAAAAUAAAAGUGUAAUAGAAAAUAAGAGUAAUAUUAUAAAAUAAUGGUGCCAGGUGAUUAUUAGAUAUUAUGAAAAUAAUAAGGGUAUAAGUAAUAUAUACUCAUUUCAAUAGGGAGGAAACUUACCAUCACCCUUUUUCUAGGCAAUUUCAUCCGUAUAGCAUCUAUGUAUGGUUUAUUUAUCAUAGUCCCGUUGUUGGCUUCUUCAAUUUUAUAUUCAUAUUAUACAUUUUCUGAAUGGAGUUGACUAUCACAAUAAUUUGAUCUUCUUCGUACUUUGAAAUGAAAAUGUUGCCACUAAUGAGGAAAAUGAUGAACCAAAAUACCAACAUGAGAAAAAAUUUUAUUAUUCGUAAACGUGCAACGUUCGUGCAACUUUUAUUAUUACAACUUAAUUUAUUCACUUAUUAAAGCAUGCGUACAACCCUAAAACGAAACAAACUUUAUUUUUAACUGCAAGCAUUUGCGGAGCUCUCAGCAGCUCGAUCUUCAAACCUUUUUAAACACAACUUUUAACGGAACAUCACUCAAAGCCAGACGCCGCACCCCACCAUUAAUAAAAAUGCCAACAUCUCUGCACAAACCUCUGCAGAAAUUACAAACCGAAGGACAGAAAACAAGCUUGUAAUCGCCAUAAAACUUCUCAAUCUUAAACCAAUUUCUCAUGGUUCUGGGGCCGGGAUUGCCUUCAACUCCCCCAGUGGUCACAAGCCACUGCCCUAAUGCCGCAUCAAAAUUGUCAAGCUUCCACACUGUGGACUGCGCACAACUUGUUGCAGCGUCAAAUUUGAUGUUAAAGUCAGUGGACUCACGAACAACGCCCUUUUUAGGGUUAACGGGCGAAAAUGUUACCGGCAAACCAUUUCUAAAUGAGUGCUGCUCUUGAACAACAUCUAGGGGACAUGUCUUAUUGUUGCUUCUGCCAGCAAGUGUAAGCCCGCCGCCUUGGCCCUUUGUAACGGGCAAGAUGUAGUACUUGCUGCCAGCUCGGAGCUUCUUACCGGCGACGUCCAGCACCGGAUCAGGUGAAGCAUUGCCCCUGACAGGCAAUGGCGUUGCAAUGAAGGCAAAGAGAAGAAUCAGCGAGGUUAAGACUAGUGUGCUUCUCAUUGUUAUAUCGUUAUAUUUUUUGUUCUUAUCUUUUGUUGAUGCGUGUAAACAGCCCUUAUGAGGCCAAAUUUAUAGAGUUAGGCUAGUAUAGUUAAUUAACGGACAGCAAGUUGGUUUGAUUCGCCUAAUGUCCGAUUCGAGAGGCCAAUGGUCGCCCACAAGACAAGAGCGGAUUAUGACAUUCUGCUUUGUGAACUGUAAUUAUUAUUUUUUUUCCCGCCUAAACAGCCUGAUCGGAAGAUUUAAUACAAAUUCAACAAUAGAAAGCGUAGUUUAGUAAGAAAGUCAAAGAUUUAGUUUAGAAUUAUAAGUCAAUAAUCUUACCUUUUCCCUUACACUAAAUUUAAUCGAAUUUAGAUCUGAUUCCUCUGUCUUUGUAAAUGGUUUUGUAAUUUUGUUUAAAUCGCAUAGUAUAUAUGUUUAAUUUUAAGGACAUGUUUAUUUUCUUUUUGUGCUGAAGUUAGUCUCGUCAAGCUAGGUGUUUAUCGAAAAAUUAAAUUAGCAAAGAAAUGAUAAAGCAUAUGUUUAGGGAGGCACAACUUGGCCCCUCUUCUUGAAUAUAAAAAUUGCACCAAGAAUUUGAAAACAAGAAAUGAUGUAGAAAGACAUUUAGAUGAUGAUAUCAAAACAUGUUACUAGCAGAUCUAUUGGCUAAGCUCAUAUGGAGAUGCUUGUUAGUAUUAAAUUAUGUGAAAUUAUGAGUUGUAUACCCUAAAUUUUUCAUGUUAUAAAAAAUAUUAUGUAAUUUUGAAUUUCUUUGAUUUUCCACUCUAAGUUUGUAAAUUAUAACCGUAUACAAACUCAAGGUGGAAAAUCAAAUAAAUUCAAAUUUUUAUUGUAUUUUUUUAUAACAUGGUGAACUUAAGGUAUAUAGCUUAUAAUUUUUCUAAGUUUUAUUUUAUUAUUUACAGUGAAAAGUCAAAAAUGCCUUUGAAUUCAAGGGUAAAAUUAUCUUUUCACUUAGAUUCUUUUGAAUAUUAUAAUAGUGUUAACAUUUUGGUGGGCGGUAAUACAAUUUACAAGCUUAGGGUGAAAAUUCAAAUAAAUUCAAAAUUUUGUAUUAUUUUUUAUAGUAAGGUAAACUUAGUAUAUAUAGUAAAUAAUUUUCCUUUAUUUAUUAAUGUUUAGGCCCUUUUUUUAGCCCAAACGGACUACAAUAUUAAUGAAUUUGUCAUUAAAAGGGAUUGGAGUAGGGAUAGCGAAUUGAUCCAUCCAAGUUGGAUAUCCAUAUAUCCAAUCUAAUUGGGUUAGAUAAUAUCUAUCCGAUGCGUCUUGGAUAUGGAUAUGAUUUUUUUUAAGAGUGAUACUAUCAUGUAUGUCAAUGGGGCGGGUUCGGGUGGGGAUCAUGAUCCCCGAACCCGAAACCGAUUUAGAAGCAAUCCCCCGAACCCGCCCCAUACCCGAAAAAUUGUAAUGGGGAUUGUUUGGGUACAUCCCCGAAAAUCCCCGAAUUGAGCGAGGAUUAAAACGGGGACCCGAUCCCCAUUUUUUAAAUAAUAAUUUCUAAAUAUUUCAGUUUUCCUUUUUUCUUAAAUAAUAAUAAUUCUAACAACCUCCAUAUUUAGAAAUAAAAUUACAAAUAAUCAAAUUUCAUAUUAGAAAUAAAAUUACAAGUGAUCAAAUUUUAACAACCUCCACAUAAAUAAAAACAUAAUAAUUUUAAGCCUUCAACAUAAUUACAAAUGAUUAAAUUUUAUACGACAAAUCAAAAUAAUUUUAAGUCUUCAACAUAAACUUGUAGCCAUCACCAUUGAUACACAUUCUAAGAUUCUUCAUAAACCUAUAACAACAUAAACAAAAAAAAAAUUAAUAAAAACAUGUUUUAACAAUUCAACUUAAUAAAUUCUUGACAAGAUAAUAUAAACUAAAACUAUAUACCUCUACGGCCUCUACAUAUGUUUCAAUCUCUGGCUCCUCAUCAAGAAUCUUGGCAUAUGCUGGAGAGGUUGAUGCCACAACUACUUAAAAAAUAUAAAUAUAAAUAUCAAGUUAAUUAUUAGUUAAUUUAAAUAAAUAAAAAUACAAAAAUUAAAAUGCAAACCAUAUACCUCCACAAAGAGCACGUAUCCAACUUUGACUACACAUCAAAGCCUCCAAUGUGCUUGGAUGAAGUCUAUUGCGAUAUGGGCUUACAAAUCGACCACCAGUGCUGAAAGCAGAUUCAGAAGCUACAGUGGUAACUGGAAUAGCCAAAAUAUCUCUUGCAAUUUGAGACAAUAUCGGAUAGUUACCACCAUUCACCUUCCACCAAGCUAAAACAUCAAAUUCUUCCUCAACAUUAAAUGGUACUAACUUUUCACCCAAAUAAGUGUCUAGUUCAUCUUUUACUUCCUCAUUACCAACAUUAACAAAACUAGUAAACCCCAAAAUCCAUUCAGUUGAACCCUUAUAGGAACCCGAACUCGGCAUAGAAUGAGAAGUACUUAAAGAACUAGAACUAUAUCCAGGAGAACUAGCAGCUGAUGCAUAUCUAGCUUUGUACUCUUUCACUAUACUUUGACAAUCACCAUACACUAUCUGGACACGAGAAGUAGCAUCAUCCUCAUAAAUCAUGGAAAAGUAAUAUUCAACCAACCUAAUUUUGAACCUAGGAUCAAAGAUACAUGCAAUAGACAAUAUUCCACUCAUGUCAUGCCAAUACUUAUCGAACUUUUCAAUCAUUUUCUAUGCCAUGAUUCUAAAUUCAUCAUACCUAGGAGUUGAAACCCAUUCAUUCAGGCACAAUCUAAUAUCACACACAUGGCGCAGAAAUAGAUUAGAUGUUGGAUAACUAGUACCAGAAAAUAAUGUUGUACAAUCAUAAAAACAUUUCAAAUCAUUUUCUAAGGCACUAGCCAAUUGCCAAUCAUGCUCACUAGGCAAACACUUAUACUGUCCAUCAAUAUUCUUCAAUCGACAAAAAACGUUCUUAUAAUGUAAUGCAGAGCAUAUCAUGAGAUAAGUAGAAUUCCACCUAGUUGGACAGUCUUGUACUAGUUUUCUACCAGAAGUAAUGCCUAAUUUACGUGCAUUCUCAUCAAAUGUCGAUUUCCUUUUAGUUGAUCCUGACCAAAAAAUAACACUCUCACGAAUGUUUGCAAUUAGAUCACCAAUCACACUUAAACCAUCCUUUACAAUCAAAUUUAGAAUGUGGGCACAACAACGAACAUGAAACUUUUGUCCACCCAAAAUGAGAUCACUAAUAAUUAAAAAAAUCAUAACAGUAAGAAUUUUACCUCAAAAGUAUGCUUCGUAAUGCCCAAGCAUCGUCAAUAAAGUGUGCAGUGAUUGCCAUAUAUGCUUUUGUUUGAUUUUCUGCAGUCCACAUAUCAGUUGUAAUGGCAAUUCUACCUUGAGUUUGCUCCAAUACACUGAUAUAUUUGGCCCUUUCACACUCAUACAUGUCUAAAAUCUCCUUCUUGAUAGUAUUUCGAGACACCGGCUUCCACAAUUGAUUUAGAGAAGACAUAACAUCCCUCAGACCUUGAUGCUCUACAAUGCUCAGAGGGUACUCAUGCAUGACAAUAGCACGUGCCAUUUUUCUCCUCGUAACAUUAGGAUCAAAAUGAGUUUCUACUGCAUUCUUCCCUUUUUCACCAGCAGCUUUCUUUGCCGGUGGGAAUUCUGUGGCCUCUAUUUCCUUUUUCACUUGACAUGUCUUCAAAUGAUCGUGCAAGUGCUUUGUUCCAUCACUACUCCUUGCUACCAAUGCAUUUUUACAAUAAUUGCAGACAGCCUUAUCAAUCAAGUUAAUUUUUUUCUUCUUGAAAUGCUCCCAUACAAUUGAUCUCAACCUUCCUCUACGUCGCAACCCACCAUGAGUAACACUGGCGGCUGAUUCACCUUGAGUUUGAUUGCCUUCAUCAUCCAUUAAGUGUGGUGUGGGCAAAGAACUUGACAUAUUAAAUGUCGAACCUACAAUCAAGCCAAUAAGCAAAAUUUAAAAAUAAAAAUAAAACUAGCAUUUUACUAGAAGCAAACAAUUAAGAACUAUGCAGAUACAAAACAUUAAAUCUGAUUUUACCAUGUACUGGAUUUAAAACCAACUAGUAUUAUUCGUACACGGAUUGAGAAAGGGAAAGUUCCAGGCACGUGCACUUUGGUCAUUCACAGAAAAAAAAGAGUAGAACAAAAAUGCCUUAAAGGUUCGAAGCAACUAAUUGUAUUUUACGCUUCUACUUUUAAAUAUUUCUCCCUUUUCUUAAAACAGACAAGUCUAAUUCAUCUUUCCAGAAAGUAUUUGGAUGAAAACACCAAGAUAAUAAAAUCUCACAGAAUCUAUUUUUCUAUCUUAUUUAUUUAUUUACUAAUCAGACAAAAAAUGAAAACAAAGUCAUAAGCAAUUUGAUUCAUCAAGUCUAUCAUAUGUUUCUAGAGAAAUCUGGAAAGGAUAACAAUUUCAAUUCUUCUUGAUAAAUUUUGGUGGCAUUCUGAAUGCGUUGGAAGGAUAUGUUCAUUUUGGGUGUCAAUUUCAUUUCCAUUUAGUAAGGAAGAUGAGACAUAGCAUGUGGCUUCCAUUAAACGUGAUAUGUUGCUCUCUUAUUGCUUCCCACGUUUAUGUCCUUCACAAUUCAAUUAAUUCAAGAAUUACUUACAGGACAACAAUUUCUUCUAUCAAUUAAUUCUUGGCCCAUGCAAUGCCAAAAAAAAAAAAAAAAAAAGACUACUUCGCUAGACACCUAACCCUACAAUGCAUAUGAAUAUACUCUCUUCAUCCUCCUUCGCCCCCUUAUCUUCUGUACUUAAAGCUUGUGCCCUGUUGAAAACAUUUCGACUAGGCAAGCAAGUACAUGGUUUGGUUGUUGUUUUGGGACGUGAUUUGGUAUUUUUGAGACCCAGAUGUGCAAUGUAAUGCUAGAUAUGAUGAACAAUACCGGCCCUAUCAACUCAUUAAGAAUUCUAAAAUUAGCAAUUACCAUUCCAGAGAUACCGAACAAAGAUAAUCCUAGAGCAAGGGCAUCUACUGCAUAUGAAUUCCACUGAUUGUUAAAGAGACAAUGGACUAAAUGUAAACCUUUCGAAGCUGACAAAUAGCUGCAAAGUCAAAAAGCCUCUUUCGACUCCAUCAACUUUGAAGCUGGAGCGCAUUUCAGCAAACAUUGUAAAUAGCCAUCUCCAUCAACUCAAUGACUCAUUACUGACAAACAAACACACGCACAGAGACACCCAAAUCAAUGAAACCAGAUGCAAUUCGAAAUAAAUAAACAAAGAAAGAAAAGUGGAAAAGGCAAAAACCUUGCUGCAGGAGAACCAACAGGUGCAGCUGAGUGUUGAUCAGUGACGACGAACGGUGGCGGCUGAGCGGUUGACCGGCUGUUAGUGACGACGGCAGCUCACGAACUGUUUCUUUCGGGGAAAAAAAUUGAUUCGAUGGCAUUACAAUUUCAAAGUUUAAAAUAUUAGAUUUUUUUUUUGUUUUUAUUUUCGGGUUGAGUUAGGGGAUCCGGAAAAUCCCCAAACCCGAACCCGAAAAGUUUUGGGAUUUUAGACCCAUACCCAAAUUGACCCGAAUUUAUUUUUAGACUUUUUCGGGGCCCCAUACCCACCCCAAAUUAAUUAGGGCCCCGCGGGUUUGGAGCCCCGCGGGUAUUGUUGCCAACUCUAGAUACUAUUGGCACCCCUCAAUAGUUCCUAUGAAACUCCCCUACUAUGUAUUUUACACAUUUAACCUUGAUUGAAAUUAUAAGAACUCUAAUUCAAAUAAAAAAGAAAUUAUAAGAAUUCUUUACACCCCUAUAUUAUUAAGUAGCGAAUUGUUUAAAAAAACAAAACAAAUUGAACCAUAAAAUAACAAACCUAAGCAAAAGAGGCAUAAAUAUAAUUUUUCCCUUAACACGUAGAACUAGCAAAGUAGCAAUCAAAGGGGUAUUUAAUACUUUCAUUAAGGAAGAGUGGAGGUUUAUUAGUCAUGGUGGUUUAUUCUUUAAAUUUCAUUUACCGGUUAUGGAAAAUGUUGUUUAUUGAGUGUUAUAUCUAGCCGAAUGUUACUACUGGUCAUGAGAUUUAAAAAAAAAUAUUUUAGGGUUCAAUGAGGAGGAAGAAGAUGGGGCUAUUUGAGGAAUUAAAAUGAGUGUUAUUAGUGAAAUAUUAAUUUUAGUACUUUAAUUAAUGGGUACGUUCAAAAUAGGGGCUUUAUGAGAUUAUUAGAGGGGUGUUAAUAGCUCCACUCUUUUUUUAAAUAUAUAAUUAGAUAUUGGAUGGAUCUGAAUAUUAGAUGUGAAUCCAUUUAUCUAAUUGGGCUAAAAAAUAAUAUUUUAUAAAAUUAAAAUGAAGUGAAGAAUUAUAUUUGCCAUAAUAUUCAUUUACCCGAAUGUCAUACCCUUUUCUAUUUUUUAUUUAGCAAAUCCUAGGUUAUCUCUUUUUACUUCACACGUCAGCUACUAGUUGCUCGCGAGCCAUUGAUCACACCGGUUGUUGCUUAUUCACGGGACAUUGGUAUUAGUUUAUUCCCGACUUUGCUAUCUCCUCUUCAGCGUUACAGCUUCUUCUUUUUCUUAUUUAACAUAUCUUUCUUUUUAUCUUUCUCUCAGUGCAUUAAUAACUACAUGUGUUAGCUUUUAUUUUAUGUCUGUGUUUUGAUAUCAAUUGAUGGUCCAAAUGUUGCGUGAACUGUGGAAGUUUUCUUCUUUGCUUGAGUUAAAUGAAACAUUUGAAAUAUACUGAUAAUUUGGUGUUCGCAUGUUAAUUUAUGGAUAAUUCGACAUAAUUCACAUGUAGAAAUUAUUUUUGAAAUUUAUGGGCUAAAUAAAUUUUAUGGACUAAAAAUUCAUUUCAAGCACCUGCCAUUUCUUGUAAACUAAUACUUACUAGGUAAAAAUGGUUAUUCUUUAAAUUACUUUUAUUUGUGAGUGUAUAAUUUGAUGAAUAGUGGAUUUGAAAUAUUCCGUAAACAACACUUUGGUCAAUAUUUGUGAGUGCAAGAUUUGAUGUUCCAUGCCAACACAUGUAGUAGAAUUUAGUAUGGGUGGUCGAUUUUUAAUCCCACAUCGCAGUAGACUUCAUCCUAGUAUAUUAGAGACUUUAGUGUGUGCUCAGAAUUAGAUAUGAGUUCAAAUAAAAGGUAUCAAACUCAUCUGAGUUCCACAUUUUAUUUAAGUUUGAUAACAUUUGUUUACAUUCUAUUUCAAAACCACUUUUAUUUUUUUUAACCAAAAAAAAAAAGAAAAACGGAAGUCCUAAAGAUAAGCUAAUAACAAAGAAGAAAUAAAUAGAGAAGUGAUUAAUAAUGAUGAUGAAUAGGAGACAUAGCACAUGUUUUGAAUAGUGCUUAUUUUUUCUUUUUUUGUACAUGCGCUUGAUGCUCAUUAUGAUGCUAUCAUGGUCAUACAUAAUACAAACUAUUUACUUAUUUAAUGCUUUAAUUGUAUUAAUUUGCAGAUUUAUGAUGAUGAUCAGAUUCGAGAUUGAAAGCUUAAUUGUAAGUCAUUACAAACAAGCCUUAUUAGAAGGCUUUUGUGGAUUUGUAAUUCCAAAUGAUAGGUUCUUUUUUGUGGAUUUGUAGUUAUGAUAUUUGUUAUUUGGAUGUUUAUUUUUUCUAAUUUAGUAUUAAAAUCUGAUAGUGAUUUAACUAUUUUAUAUUAUUAUUUUAUAUUUCAUAUUUUUUUGCUUUAUUUUCAUAUGAUAAAAAUUAAAUAUCCGUGGAUAUUCAUAUCCAUAUCCAUAUCAAAUUUUAAAAAUUAGAUAUGAAUAUGGACAUAUCCAUCAUAGCUAAUUAUGAAUUUACAUUUGGAUGGAUACUUGCCAUUGAUAGAUUGAAGUAGCUUGAUCAAAUGGCGCUCGACGAACUAGAUAUUGGUAGGAUGGUGUGUGUGUGUGUGCGCGCGCGCGCGUGCGCAUGCGCGGGUUCGUAUGUUUAUGAGAAUUGACAAUCAAUAAGAAAAUGCUUUAUUAUAUACUUAACAAAAGUGCUAGGCGUGUUUGAUAUCUCGAAAACAACAUCACCAUCCAUUAAUAACACUCCUCUUACAUUUUUGAACGCCGUCUUUUGAAGGGGGGACAAUGGGUUGAUGGGUUGAAUUUGUGUCAAAUCCUAAAUAACUUGUUGUUAAGUUUUAGAAUUUAAAUUCAAUCUAUUUAUUAAAUGAAUAAUAAUAUAAAUUAUUUUUUGAUUUGAUUCCUUUAUCUUUAAGUAACAAAUGAAUCUAAUCGAAUUUUGAUUGGUUUAAUUUGUUCAUCUAUAAUCAUACUUUUAUUUUUUCUUAUUCAUCAGUUAAUUACAAAACUAAUGUUACCGCUUAAUGAUUUUUAUAUUAAAUUUAAAAUUAUAAAUUUAUCUUAAUUAACAAAUAUUACUUUUUGAAUAUGAAUUCCUUAGGAAGCAAAGAAUCAGAAUUUUAUUUUGAAAAUAAAAUGCUAAACUCCGAAAUAAUCCACUCUCCUAUAUCAGUCGUCCUUAGUAUUUCUUAUUUUACCAUUUACUCUCUGAAUAUGAUAUAAUAAUAAAUAAUCACUCACCACCAAUGAUUUGCAGAUGAAGAAGAUAGAUCAAAUGGAACACAUGAAAUACAUUUGGCGCAAAAAUAUGGGCUCUAAUCAGGAAAAUGAUGAACCAAAAUACCAACACGAAGAAAAGUUUUUAUUGUCGGUAAACAUGCAACAUCAAUGCAAAUUUUAUUAUUACGACUUUAUUCAUUUAUAAAAGCAUGCGUAUAACUUUGAAACGAAACA